rnacentral:lncRNA from 1 species
UCAAGACCGGAUAUGGGUCGGGUCUCAAUCGGGUACGGAUAUCCGUAUACAUAUAUUUUUUUAUAGACUUUAUUAAAUUAUCUGGGCAGAGCUUAUUUCGACCAUAAUAUUAAUUGAUUAAAAAUCUAAAAUUCAAAACAAUUUCAUAUGUAAACACACAAAAAUAAGAAAAUUAUGAUACCAUAUUAUAGAUAAAGAGAAUAUAAGUUGUAGCAAUUACUAAUAUUAUAUACUAACAUUCAAAAAAAGAAAAAAAAAAUAAGGAGGAAUUAAAAAAUUUACUAAAUAGAAUAUUCAUUAAAAAAAAACUAGGUUGUCGACUAUGAUUGGAGAAGGGAUUUGAAAAAAAACUCACUCGUGCCACGUCUGUAGAGGAUUAAUAUCGCUGAUGAUGAUGACCAUGAAAAUAUUGUUUCAUAAAAAUCUCAUAGGCGUAAAUGAAACAAAAGAAAUAAAGAGUAAAAAAUAAAGAGAAAAUAAAUAAGAAAAAAGAAAAGAGUAAAAGAACGGCCAGGGUUUCAGUGUUCUAUUAGAUCCCUCAUCUAUAAGUCCUAUUAAAAUUGAUCCAUCAACUUCAAAAGUUUAAAUAUUUUUUCUUUACUAUCGGAUAUUUCAUCGGGUCCGGGUUCAGUCCGGAUUUGAAAACUAUUCCGGACCCUACCCAUUUAAAAGUUGGGUUUGGGAUGGGUCUAAAUCAGGUACAGGUGUAAAAUAUCCGGAUCCUUACCCGAAACGUUAAUGGGUAAUUUAUUUUACCCAUAUACUAUCCAUGUUUUAUUGAGUUCGGUUUGGGUCAGGAUAGGGUCCGGGUAGGGUUCGGGUCGGGUAUGGUAUAUCAGAUAUUUUGAAUAGCUUUAAUAGAAAUAGGAUAAUAAAUGAGCAAGAAUUAACUACUACUGAAUAGAAACUCAACUAAACAGAUGCCUCAAGGAUAAACAAUUCAAAUCAAACCUAAUCCGGUGCCUGCCAUAUUGGUCCGCAGAUCUCAAGCGUUGCCUGUCACAUUGCCUGCACCGACCUGAUUCAUGCGUCCACUGAACGACCUAUCCGGAUAAGUACACCCCUGGUCGGUGGCCAAAUCAACCUGGUGUCAAUGAAUACAUCCAACUGCUGUGACUAGAUUAUGUUGAUAUGCUCAAUGCAAAAAUCGGUAGAAAGCCAGUGCCUUGGCCGAAACCAGAUAUAAAGACGUACAACGCCGAACCACGAUCAACUAGAUCGAAACACACGACAAAGGAGUUGAUAUGUAGCCUGGACCCAAGGUCCACAGAUAUACAACAUAUGCAAGCUUGCUCUACAUGUCUAUCAAUAAUUAUCAUUAUGCAAUUAAUAAGGUAUAGAUGAACGAACAAUAAACAAAAGUAACUGGCAUGUAGAGACUACAAUAUUGAUAUAGACGAACAGAGGAAAGUGAAACGAUUUCACCGAUUACCAGCUCGAAGCAUCCACAUGUCACUAUCGCGUCGAAAACCUGGGUGUGCGUAAUAAGUCAACCGAACCUACGAAGAUUCACUGGGUCAGUAUUCAACCCACCAAUCCAAAAUACCCAACUCACGAACCCCACACAAUCCCCGAAAUCGGUUUUCUAAAACCGAUCUCCGUAACUCGCUAGAAGUCCUGAAAAUCACACCGGGAUACCGUCGGGACCGAUGAAGUGUCCCGAAACUCACCGACUCGUGUCACGAGUCACCCGCUGCCACAAAACACACCGAUUUGGAUGUCUUGGCAGCAAACACAAGGUAACACAACCAAACAAUUAUCUGCGGAUAAUUGUUCAGUUCCGGGUUCUCGGAAGUGUCAAUGUCGACAUCGGAACCCACCAUCGCUCACCCGUCAUCUCAGAGAACUUAUGAUAUGAUGAUGGUGACUAGCUGACAAGGCUCAGGGACACAACCCAGGGCAAACAAACACCGUCAGAUGAAAUCCGAACCGAAACCGCAUUCCGCCGGCAAAUUUCACCGAAAAACGCACCCUUCGAUUUCCGCAAUGGCUAACGGACCUUGGACGAUCAGUCUAGAGGUCACCUACCACAUGUACGUACUGCCCACAGUAAUCACAAAAUGCAAAAUUGCAUAAAAGUCCCUACAUUUACAUAAAAUCCUAUUAUUUUAUGUAAAUAGGGUGUUUUUGUGGCUAGUUAACGCAAACCGAGGACUUCUGAGGUCCGUCUAGACACGUACUGAUAGGUCUCGACGUGUCGGAGGCCGUGCUCAUGAUCCAAAGCACAACGGCUUAUUGUGGGAGGCGCGGGAGUGACCCAAAAAUCUGCAAACUGCGCGCACUUGGGGUAAACCGCACCGAACAAGCUGAUUCAGAAUCCGUUGAUCCAAAGUGAGGUGAGCACUGUGAUCAACACUGACCAACGAUUACCGUGCUCACCUCUGGAGGCAUCGGGACAGCCUCGGAUCACCGAAAAGACAAGCACAAUCCAGAACAGUAGUCAAAAGCCCUACACUAUGCUUACUGGAGCAGUGGGAGCUAGGGCACGGCCGGCGACGGCUCAACGGUGGGCGGGUGCGGCCGACGUGGGGAGGCCGGGGCUCGCACCGGCAGACGAGGGGAGGCGGCGAAGGCGGCUGUGGAGCAACCCGAGCCCGCAAAAAUGAAGCUCGGGCUCGACUCGCUUCUCCGGCUACGACGAGGGUCGGGGUGGCCGGAGGAGCAGUGCGGGGUCCCUCUGGGACCGAGGGGGAGGGAUGGGGACGGCGGCCGGCGGCUGAGGUCGCGGUGUUGUAGUGCUUGGCCACACCAGCCUAGGCUGGCCGCAGGUUGGCAGUAAUGGCGUGGCGGCGCACGGGGCAGCUGCGACCGGCGGGGACGGUCGCCGAGGGUCCGGGGGAGGCGGCAGGGGCAGCUUCAGGCGGCGGCGGCACGAAGGGAGGGAGCUGAAGCCCUCUCGGCCCGUGCUGGCCCUAGAUGGCUGCAGGGCUGCUGCAGCGCGGCAACGGCGUUUGGGGGCGGCGGCAGUCGACGGUGAGGUUCGGGUCCGACAGCUGGUGACCACCAAAGGCUAAGGGAGGAGGGUUCGGGUCCUCCCUUAGCUCGGGAUGAAGGGUGGGUGGAGAAGAUGAUGGAAAAAGAGAGGGAGAGGGAGAAAAGUGGCUGAGGAGGUGAUGGCUGGUUGGAGUUUGGUCGGCAGUGGCUGGGAGGCGUGUGGUGCAUGAGGUUAGGGGGAAGAGGCGGCUGAGAGUCAGCUGGGGGCUAGGGUUGGGGUUUGCAUGGUGCAAACUCUAGAUGGGCUAUAUAUACAUAAGGUGUAUAAUUGCGAGUUAGUCCACCGAAACUCGAUAUUUUAACUUGAGUCCCUAACAGCGCGAGUAAAACGCGCGAACACACCCCCAUGUCCAAUUUCACGUAAAAUAGUACAUAAAAUAUAGGGCUUUUCGCAAAAUUACCGUUUAGCCAUCUAUAACCCCUCCUCGAUCAAUGCGCGAUAUCAAGAGAUCCGUUCGUCAGAUUUGCGAUUGGAUUGCACCACUGCGAUCAGCAUGACAAAGACCUCAAACUCAUAAUUUUGUUUCGCCUGAUUUGGUCACAGAUUUGCGACGAAACCCAUCCUUUCUCCAAUAGGCAAAACCACCCACAAAUACAUAAAAUAUAUGUAUAACCCGUUUUCUUGAAAUCCGUGCGUCAAACCUGAAAUCCGUCAGCGCUAAUGGUUCCAGAAUAGUCAGACCAUUAAAAAUGAGCCAUUGGAUCACUAUGAACGGAGUCCAAUACGCACUAGAAGCCAUCUUUACACCUUGGCCUCUCCGGAAAUCCGGAUUAUUAUUCACUUUAAGUGAAAAGUAAAUAUCGCGUAAAAUCUCCAUUCUAACUCGUUUCUCUCGAAACUUGACGAGUGCUUUUGUAAUUAAAUUACACACAAAAAUAUUGUCAGUCUAGCUAGACUGCUAAAAUCUCAGUUCUUAUAUUACUACUGAUAGUAGCUCGAUCAAGCUAAUGAAAAUAAAAACUUUUAGAGAAUAUCAGUUGUUUCACAAGUAUUAGCUCAUUAAAACUUAAUUCAAUAGUUUGGCCAAUUUAAAUUCUUUGCAUAAUCUUACAAAGCUUCAAAAUAUUAAAAUAUACAUACUUUUUUGUUAGCUGAUGAAAACAAAACAUUGAAUUAUAAAAUAGGACGACUACAUCUUUGACUUUUAUUCUAUCAUUAUUUUAAUUCAUGCACGAGAAUGGAGAAAGUUUUUCUCUCUUCAUUUUAAAAAUUUACAAGAUCCGCGAUAUGCGACAAAAAUUAUACACGCAAUUAUAUGAGCAGAAAAGUUCACUGAAUUUUUUAAUAUAUAAAGUUAAAAAAAAAAUAUUAAUAAGUUAAACUUCUACUUUCACAAAAUGAAACUCGCGGUAAUUGAUAUUUGGCUAAAAACAUUUUUUUUUAAUUUAACUAAAAGAUCAAUUUGCAUAAAAAAUUCACUAGUUUUGUGAUUUUGCAAAAGCGGGCCAGAAUUUUAGAUUUUACAGAUUAAGGCCGAAUGUUAACAAACUGACCAAAAUACCAUAAUUCUUUUCUAUCUCUUCUUUCGUUUUUUUUUUCUUCAUUUUUUUUUUCUCUCCGACCCUCAUCGCCUCUUCCAUCACCUCUACGGCCUCGGCGACGGUAACGAGAACGGCGUCAACUUCUCUUCCUCCAUCACUUUACAACGGUAAUAAGGGAAGCGCCAUCUCCUCUUCCUCUGCCUCCACCUCCGCCGGCGCUAGAGAAGGAGAAGGGGAACUAGCAGGCUCGGGUGAGGGCGGAGCGGACGGAGACGUUGAAGUAGUUGCCGAGGAGGUGCUCGCCGCCCGUGAGGGUGAGAAAAAAAAAAAUGCGCCCGUCUCUAAGAAACGAACAAAGAUGCAGAAGGUAGAAAAAAAAAAGAAUAAAAAGUAAAAAAAAUAAAGAAAAAAUAUUUCUCUUUGAAAGACCAUUAUAUAUUAUUGCUGCUACCCAAAAAGUUAAGAAUCAGAGAAAAAAAAAAAGAAGAUAAAGACUGCAUUAUUAAAAUAAAAUUACAAUUUUUUAUAAGAAAGUUGCACUGUUUAAUAUGAACGUUACACUCUUUGAGAUGAAAAUUACACUUUUUGAAAUAAAAGUUAUACUCUUUCGAUAAAAAUUAUACUAUUUCAGAGAAAAUUGUACUAUUUUUCGACCCUCAUUGCCUCCUCCUCAGCAUCUUCUUCUUUCUCUUCCCUUGUUCCCGUCCUCUUCCUCCCCCUUCGAACCCUAUCCUCACCAACGCAAGCCUAUCUACCUCGAGCACCACAUCGAAACGUCAAAACACGGAAAUGGCCUACCUCUCUUCUUUUUUUUUACCUUUAUCACCUCCUCCACCACUGUCUCCACGGCUCUCGAUGACGGUAACAAAGGUGUCUCCACCUCUUCAUCCUCCAUCUUGUCCUCCGCUGGCGCCGACGACUCUCGACGACCGUAGUAAGGGCUGCGCUGCUUUCUCUUCCUCCAUGUCCGCCUCCGUCUUCACUUUCACCGGCGCCGAGAAGGAGAACUGGGAGCGGGCCUGCGUGAGGGCAGAGUGGACGGAGGUGAUAAGGUUGUUUUCGUGCUUCAGCCCUCAGAUGCGGCGUGCAGGUAGAGAGGCUCGUACUGGUGAGGAUGGGGGUCGAAGGGUGAGGAUGAGGCGGAGGGGGAGGGGGGUCAAGGAAAAAGGAAGAAGAAGAAAAAGAUGAUGCAAUGAGGGUCGGAGAAUAGUACAAUUUUUUCUAAAAUAGUAUAAUUUUUGUUGAAAUAGUGCAAUUUUUAUUUUAAAGAGUGUAAUUUUUAUUUCAAAGAGUGCAACGUUCAUAAUAAAUAGUACAAUUUGUUUGUAAAACAAUAUAAUUUUAUUUUAACAAUACAACUUUCAUCAUCUUCUUUUUUUUUUCUCUGAUUCUUAAACUUUUCGGUCGCAGUAAUAAUAUAUAAUGGUCUUUCAAGGAGAAAAAAAAUUUCUUUACUUUUUUUCCUUUUUAAUUUUAUUUGUUUCUAUCUCCUGCAUCUUUAUUCGCUCUUUGGAGAUGGGCGCGUCUUUUUUCCUCACCCUCACAGGCGGCGAGCUCCUCCUCGGCAACAACCUCAUCGCCUCCGUCCACUCCGCCUUUACCUGGAUCUGCUUCGAGUUUUCCUUCUUCUUUUCUGGGCAGGCAGAGACGGAGGCGGAGGUGGCGUCACCCUCGUUACCGUUGCCUAAAACUAUAGAGGCGGUAGAGGAGGCGACAAGAGUCGGAGAGAAAAAAAGAAUGAAUGAAAAAAAAGAGGGAAAAAAGAAUCGGAGUAUUUUGGUCAGUUUGUCAAAAAAUUGGUCCGAAUCUGCAACACAAUAUAGUGGCUCACUUUUGCAAAAUCACAAAAUUGUAGAUUUUUUAUGCAAAUUGGCCAACUAAAAUUUUAUUAACUCUUGUUUAGCGCCCUUUACAAUCCAUGUAUAGCAUAAUUUAAGAGUAACUAUCUAUAUUUAUCCAUUUUAAUUUAGAAUAUUAUUUGAUAUAUUACAGAAAGAGACAAAAGUAGAAGUGAUUUAGUACAUUCUUUUAUUAUGCAACGUAAAAGUAGAAGUGAUUUAGUCUAUUCUCUUUAAAAUAUUUUGGAAUCAAAUUUUAUGUUAUUUUAAAAUAUUUUGAAAUUAAAUUUUACGUUAUUUUGAAAUCAUUUAUCAAAUGAUCAAGGAGUCUCAAAGUUAAUAGAUUUUAGUUGACUGUGUGAGUUAUAUUUAAUAUAUUUAACGAUUUAUUAGUUGAAAUUCUACUAAAAGAUACUUCAAACAAUUUGCAUCAAGAUUGGUGUCAUCCAUCUUAAAUUGAAUUGGCUCGUGAAUCAAAUAAAUCUGAUCAUCGUAUCAAUUUUUGACGCUUUAAUUAUUAGACAAAAAAUGCCGAUAUAAAAUAAAAUUCUAUUUUCAAAUAUCUUAAAUAUUAUAUAUUGUGAUAAAUAGUGCGGAUUGUGAAUUCAGAUGCUCAAUAUGUAGGAGAGUUAAAACGGUGAAGGGACCAUCCAAUUUUUGUUAUUAUUAAAAGUAUGGUAAUAUUUAUUGGCCAAUUUGCAUAGAAAAUCCACUAGUUUUGGGAUUUUGCAAAACCGAAUCACCUUUUUUGUUUUUGCAGAUUCGAUCCAAUUUUUUAGCAAAGUGAUCAAAAUAUCCUUAUUACUUUUUCUCCCUCCUCUUUUUUUUCUCUCGUUUUUUUUUUUCUCUCUCCGAAGAAGGCAGCGGAGGCAAGGCGGAGGCGGAAACUGCUCGCUUGCCUCUCACCCUCGUGCUCUCGCCCUCGCCCUCGCCCUCGCCCUCGCCCAUGCACCCCACGCCUUCCUCUUCUCCAACCCCGCCGAGGCCGCGCUGCGACUCUUUUUUUCUUCCUCUCCAACCCUCCUCUACCGCCUUCGACGACGACACCUCUCUCACCCUUCCCCGCCCUUUCCCUUUCCCGCCUCCUCCACCGCCUCUGACGAUGACGCUUCUCCGUCGACGCUGACGCCGCGGAGGUCAUUGCGGCGCCGCAGCCUCAAAGCAGGGGGUUCUUAGCGGCGUCGUCGCCAGCACUGUAGCUGUUGGCGGAGAGGCAUGAUGAAAAAAAAUUAUAGAAACAGAAAGAAGAAAAAAAAUAAAGACCAAAAUAUAUAGAAGAAGGAAGAAAAAGAUGAAAUAAAAGAUGAAAUUGCACUGUUAAAAUAAAAAUACACUGUUUAAAAAUAUUUUGCAUUAUUUUAAAUAAAAGUUGCUUUCUUGAGAUAGAAAUUACACUCUUUGGAAUCAUAUUUACACUCUUUAGGAUAAAUUUGUACUAUUUGGAUGAAAUUUACACAAUUUCUCUUUCUCUUCUUCACAUUAUUUCUCUUUCCUUCUUCUUCCUCCUCUUCCUCCUCUUCCUCAUUCCCCUCAUCCUCAUUCUCGUCCUCAUCCUCCUUCACCCCGAGAGAAGAGGGUAGGAGGGGCGGUAGCGAUGCAGGAGCGAGCGUCGGCGACAUCAUCAUUGAACGCGGCGGGCGCGAACCCCGCGGUGCCCAAAAUAAUUUAUUUUUUUAAAAAACUAGUUUCAUUUAUUUUUGAGAAAUCAAAUCUAAAUUGUUUAACCAGAACUUCAAAGCAGUAAAAAUUCAAGAUUGAAGUACGAGCAGGCAUUAGUUAUCCUAAACUCUAUGUAUGCUACAAAAUCACAAAGAAUCGAAAAAGGGCUCGUCCUAUGCUUUCCAUGCCUUUUUGAGUAGUUAAUGUGGGUGAUUCCUCCUGAAGCUAAAAGACACCUGCGAAAACACCAAAUCAUACCAUGUUAUGUGUUUUCUUUUUUAUUUUUAAUUUUUUUUUUGUACACAUGUAAAUCAUAUCAUGUUGUUGGGACCAUUAUUUGAUCUGAUCAGAGGGGCAUUUUAUUUUAUUUUAUUUUAUUUUUUUUGAAUCAACUAAGAUUCGAAUUUGGGUUUCGAGUAUCAACCAUCAAGUCCUUUGCCACUUGCUAUAGAGACGGUUGGUACCCAAACAGAAUUGUUAAGAUAGGAAGAUUGUAGUUCCCUUAUAAGUGAUAAGGGGGAAUAAGCCUGAAAUAAGUUAACCACUAGCUUUGCCUUUCAAUCCAAUUCAAGUCCAAAUUUAAUCUCUACAUAUUCAUUAACAUAUAUAUAUAUAUAUAUAUAUAUAUAUAUAUCAUAUAGAGCAGACUGCUGUGCUCUUAGGAGGCAGCGAAGGCCUCGCAUGCUCCUGACGUCGUUUUCGAUGCAUCGGAAUUUUCGAAAUCCCGACGAUCCGCGCCUCAAUUAGACAUGAUCAUAGCGUAUUUGAAAAUUUUAGAAAAUAAUCUUUCUGAAUUUUUCGAUAUCAUUUACCCUAGGCGCAAAUCGAGAAGGAUUCAAAAUCAAUAAUCGUUUUAAACCGGGCUGAAAAUAAAAAUCCUAUACAAAACUGAUGAUAUAGUACUAAAUUUUUUGAUACCAGAAAUAUCGAUCUUGUUGGUAGAUAAUGAAAAAGAAUUUUUUAUCAAAAUUUUAUCUGAUUUGAUAUACUUCUAAUACAGUUAAACUUAAGACAGAUAUCAAGAUCAUUACAAAAUUAUUGAUUUUGAAUCCUUUUGAUCAUUAGGUACAAUGAUAUAAACAAAUGCAAAAAAUUAUUUUCUAGAAACUUCAAAUACGCUAGAUCAAUCUACACGAACGCCGUCGUUGAUUCGAAAAAUUCCAUCAUCCGAAAACGCUCAGGCACACGAGGCCUCCCGUGGCUCCCUGAAAGGCACAAACCAGCCCUGCUAUAUAUAUAUAUAUAUAUAUUAUAAAGAGAGAGAGAGAGAGUCCGGCUUACUAUAUGCUAUUAAUGCACAAAAACAACUUGUGGUACCAAGUUUUCCGCCGUAGAUCUAUCCUUUUGAUCAUAUUCACCUGUAGAUCAUAACUAUUCAACCAACCACUACCCUCCAAGCCUAGGGGCCCACAUCAUCCUAACCGCACAUCUUUUUAAUCCAAUGCCAAAAAAACACACCACCACUUAGUGCUAUUAGAUAGUAUAUUAGGCCUAGUUCUCUGCUCUUCUGCUCUCUCUCUCUCUCUCUCUUCUUAUAUUUUGUUGGUUUCUGUCUCACCCUUACUUGUCGUUCAUUAUAUAAUUAUAAAAUACCCAUUCACAUUCACUAAUUAAUAAUUGUUGAAGGGCACUUUCAUAGGUAGUCUUUAAAUAAAAUCUUUUUGUUAACAACAUAUCUAAUAAAUUAAUAUUGAAUGAUUAAAAUAUAUUUUUAAAUCUUUAAUUUUAAUAUUCUAAUUUCACAUAUUAUACCAAAUUAUAAAGAGUUUAAUUUUUGAAUUCAGAUAAAGUCGGAUGGCUCAAUUCACUAUAAAUAAAAUUUGAAUUAAAAAAUUACACUUAAAUUUAGAUUUACAAUUUUGAAUUUAAUAAAUUAUUUUAUCUUUUACAUUUCUUUUUUUGCAUAUUUAUUUGACAUCUAUAUAUGAAAAUUCUCUUAUAAAAAUAAUAAUAAUGUAUACUGGUAUCUGCUUUUAAAAUCACAGUGCUCUUUGUCUUUAUACCUGUGUGGGUUGUUUAGGCGGUUGUUGGUUGCAUGAAAAUAUAAUUAAAAAUAUAUAUACAAUAAUGUAAUAUUGUUGAAUUUAUAACUAUUAGAGAGAUGGAGUUUCAAUAAUUAUUUUUAUGAUUUGUGAAUGAAUUCACUAUAUAAAACUUUUGUUUCACAUAAAAAAUUAUUUAACCUUAUAUAUAUAUGUAUAUUGAUAUUUACUAGCUUAUUGUUGAUAUCUUUUUUAAGUUGUUUAUUAUUUUAAUUAAAUUUAAAAAUAAUAAAUUAUUAUCUUUUUUUUACCAAUAUAUAAGCUGUAGUGUUUCUGGGCUUUGGAUAUGAUUGGCUUCAGUAUUAGUGACUGGUCGACAUCUCUGGAGAGUGUCGGAUUGAGUCGGAGUCAAUUCUGUACGAAUUGGAUGCAGAAUUGGACUCGACGCACUCAAAUAAGCAAAACUGGAGUUUUGCUAGAUUUGGGCGCCCAGAACAUUAUUUAGGUCGCCCAGAACUGAAUGUUGAAUUUAACUGAAACUGGAAGCCAAUUCGGAUCCUAUGUUCCGGGCGCCCAGAAGUGGGUCCGGAAAUUCUACAUCGUGAAUAUCGUUUGCUUCGACGCGUGGCAGGGUGUAGGUGAGUUCCGCCGGAGCCAUUUACGCGCACAGCAGACCACGAGCGGAGAGUCCAAGGAGCAUGAGUUGUGCAAUCAGGAUGUUCUGGUCGCCCAGAACAUGGUUCCGGGCGCCCAGAAACGCCCGUUUCUGCAAGAACACUGGAUAGCAGCUGUUUCUCUUGAGGCUUAUCUUAUUCCUCCAGCACCCUAUAAAUACCUGGUAUACGUCCCCUUUGAGCUCUUUUACCUGUUCUUUACAGAGAACUUAGAUUUUACUCCCUAAUCCCUCCAAUCUUUUCAAUUUGCAUCAAGAUCCACCACUCCAAGAAUUGCAAGGUGCUGAUUCUGCAGUUCUUCAGCGACGACCUCCAGUGUUUUGGCUCGUGCGUGACGUAGGAAGGUCGGAUUUCGGCGAAACUUGGUUUGUUGGAUUCUAGACUUCCAGAGGAAUCCAUGAAGGCCUGAAUUGCAGAUUUUAGAUGAGGUUAGCUUGGUCGAACUGAGAUUUUUCUGGACUGCUGUUGACUUUGAGCUGAAAAUGGGAUUUUGAGCUUUUCUUGAUGCUAACUUUGUAGGCAGUGGGAUUUUGGAUCUGAGAUUGAUCACCAAUCAGUAUUUGCUGGAUUUGGAACUGUUCUCACCCAAAUUGAAAAUCAUUAGGUGAGUUUUGACAUUGGAGUUGAGAUAAUUUAGCUUAAGUGCUGAAAUUCUUGGUAAAUUGAUAGUUUUGUUGGAUUUUUGGGUGAAUUGUAAUGUCCAGAUUUUGAGGGAAGUUGUUGCUGGUUUGGGGGUGUUACCAGUUGUGUUACUUGUGAUCCGAGACCAUCUUGCUGCCAGGAAUUGCUCUAGAGGUGGGUGUAUCAUCGGUUUCGCUCCUAAGUGCAUGUUUAGUCGACGUGUAUAGUUCGGUUCUCGUAUAUCAUGCUUAAAUUCAUCAAUUAGUAUCUUGACUGCAAUAUGAAUGUAAAGGCAUGCUGAAAUGAAUAUUUUUUAUUAUACAUGUGGACUUGAAUUUUGACUUAGGAGAAAAUCUGCGUUUUGACCCGUCAUAUGCUUGAACUACCAGAUUUAGCUCUAGGAGCCAUGGUUCGAUUGUAUCUUUGCAGUAUCAGUGCGAUGGAUAUCUGGGGUAGUUUAGAAGGCAUUUACGCUCGUGCUGGGAUGCCGAGCUUAUUUUUCAGCAGAGUCUAGGCUGUUUCGGGUUGUUGGGUGCCGCCCGGGUUGGCGGUGGACCCAGAUUCUUGUUUUGGUCCCAGAUUGUGCCGAGGGCACGUGGGUUUGGGUUGUAGACCUGUUUUGACUCUGUUUACAUGACUUUGGCUAGUUGGAGCCUGAUUGAGGUCGACAGAGAUAUGCUGCAUACUCGGUUAGGUAGCUCUCACGAGUGCCACUCCGGAGGCGGGCGCUAUGCUAUUGCGUUGGUGUCGUGUAUGCCAGUUAGACUUUCUCUUCACGGACUGAUUAGUGUGGAGGUAGCUGGAUAGUCUCAACUGAGCGGGACGGGUAUAUUCACAGUCCCAGGGACGGGUAUAUUCACAGUCCCAGGGACGGGUAUGCUUACAGUCCCCAUGAGAUUGGUUCAGUGUUGACAUUUACUACAGAUGGUUAGUUAGAAUAGGAUAGUAUAGUGGCAUAUAGCUGUAGAGUAGUCCAGCUUUCCUUUACUAUUUCUGUUUAUUCCCGUAGACUUAGUGGCUGGACCGAUGUGUUGAGGGCGGUACCCACUGAGGACUACUUAUUUUGUAGUAGUUUUCACGCCCAGUUUGUUUCCACUGUUUUGCAGAGCCAUCGUGUUAGAGCCCUACCCGACGAGCCGAGCUAGAAGUGCCCUACUGCAGGUAGUUGUUUUGUUGAAGUUCAUGUACUUACCUAUCUUUAACUCGCUAGUGCGAGUAGUUUUGUAUCUUGGAUUUUGGGGUAUGUAUAUGAAACUCGGUUUGUUUUUCUUUUGUUCUUCUAGCAGCUCUAUACUACUGUUUGUAGUAUUGUAUGACCUACAGGUACAGCUAUCGCUUCGUAUACAGAAAAAAUUCUUUUGUAUACGGCGGAUUUGUCGGCGCGCCCGGGAAAACGAGUAAUCCGGGGCGUGACAGAUUAAGUUGGUAUCAGAGCUUAGUUGUAGGUCGUUGGGACCUAGAAACCCUAAGUUUGGCAACCUUUAGGAAGGCAAGACGCGAGAGGCGUGAUUUAUCGCGAAAGUCAACGAUUUGUUGUUCUAACUCCUCCUAGAGUGGAGUGAGUGAUUGGAGGAGUUCCCGUUCUGUCCUGAAAAAUUAUGUUGGCUGCAGACGACAUAAUUUUGAGGAGAAACAAGGGCCGCAUUCCAGACUUUCGUUUGAUUGGGUCGACAGUGUUUUGUUGUAUCUGACUCCUGUUUUGUUCUUUACAGCUAUGUAUCGUCGCCGAGGUCUACCGUCGCUCAGAGAUCGUGCCGCCCCGCCCGAGAUGCCUGAGCAGGCAGAGCCGAGUGCACCACCUGAGGUGAGUGCACCCCCAGUUGUAGAGCAGAGGGCCCGACCGGAGGCGAGUGCAUCCCCGGAUUUGAGUGCACAGUUAGCCGCCCUGACAGAGGUGACGAGGCGGCAGGGGGAGUUGUUGGAGUGGCUAUGCGAGAGUAUAGCUCCAUCACCGAGUACAGUAUCGAGAGCACCAGAGUAGGCCAUUCCGCCUCCGACUACUCCAGCGUCAGCACCAGCCGCAGCUAUGCCCCCACCAGUGGAGCUUCCUGCAGCGCCAGUCGCGCCUGCUAGGGGGCCGGUGCAGUUGACAGAGGCCGAGCAGGAGCGGUGGACGGAGAGGUUGGCUCGUUUUCGCCGUUUUGAUCCACCGAUUUUCGAUGGCAGUUACACUGAGGCCUGGGUUGUUGAGGGAUGGGUCAGUGCGAUGGAGAAGCUAUUUGAGGAUAUUUUCAUUCCUGAGGGAGAGCAGGUGUCUUUGGGGGUCCAUUGCUUAGCAGGUGAUGCCCACGCCUGGUGGAGGAGAGUGAGGAGAGAGCAGGGACUGGUGGCAUUGCAAUUGAGAGGGGACGAGUUGUGUAGAAUGCUGUUUGGGAUGUUCUUUCCCAAUAGUGUGAAACAGAAGCUCGAAGAGGAUUUGAAGAGGAUUCAGUGGGGAGAUCGUCUAGUGCAGGAGUACAUUCGGGAGUUUACUUGACUCCUGAACUGUGUGCCAUUUAUGGCGAGGGACGAGGCACACAGGGUCUAUUUGUUUGAGCAGGGACUGAGACCCGACAUCUUCAGGUUGGUGCGGACGCAGAGGUCGAGGACCCUGGAUGCGUCCAUUGAGCAGGCUUUGUGGAUAGAGAGAGGUAAGGUGUCACUGCAGGAGAGGACUCAGGCCGUGGGGCAGAGUCAGGAUAGGAAGCGCCCUUUUUCAGAUGAGGCUGGACCGUCGAGCAGCAUGCGUCCUCACGGAGGGGGUGGGGGUGGGGGGCGCGGAAGGUCUAGACCCGGCGCUGGGAAGUGUCAAUCUCCCCCAGGAAGAAGAAGAAGAAGAAGAGAAAGGGAAAAAAUAAAGGUAAAAAGUGAUGCAAAAGUUUCCUAAAUAGGGCAAACUUGGCCUACAGAGUGUAAAAUUUAUUUCAAAAGAGUGUAAUUUCUAUAUCAAAUAGUGUAAUUUUUAUUAAAACAAUGCAUUUUUUUUUUAAAACAGUGUAAUCUUAUUUUAAAAGUGCAAUUUCAUAAUCUUCUUUCUUCUCCUAUAUUUUUUGAUGUUUUCGGUAGGAAAAAAAUAAUUUUUAUUUUUAUUUUCUAUUAUUCUUAUUUUAUUCUAUAAUUUUUUUUUUCACCACCUCUUCCGUCUCUACCUCUGCCUCGGAGAGAGAAAAAAAAAAAGAGAAAAAAAAAGAGAAAAAGUAAUAAGGAUAUUUUGGUCAGCUGAAAAUCCGGUCCGAAUAUGCAAAAUUGAAAAAAGUGGUCCACUUUUGUAAAAUUUCAAAACUAGUAAAUUUUUUAUGCAAAUUGGCCAUAUUUAUUUAUUAUAUAAAAUAUUUUUUAAAAAUAAAAUUUUAAUUUACAUUCAUGUGUAACGUGCGACAAACAAUGAUUCUUUUGGGACACGAACGAGGAGGAAAAGAACGGUUCCCGUGACAAUGACGUGGUGACGCGAACGGUGGAGAGGGGUCCACAUAGGACGAGCAGGUGGGGCCCGCAGGACUAAUUUUAAUAAAAAUAAAUACACCGAUCUCCCACGUGUCGCGUGCAGCAGGUAACCUAUAAUUAUAACUAGUGAAGGCCCGCGCUUCGCGGCUGGACAUUUAUAUAAUUUUUAAAAUAUUUAAAUAAUUUUUUUUAAUUUUUUAAUUUUUAAAUUUAAUUUUAAAAUUUAAACUUCAAAAAUGAAGAGAGUAAAAUUUUAAAAAAUAUUUAAAUAGAGAGAAAUAAAAAAAAUUAAAAACUAAAACACCCAAUUAAAAUUAAAAUAAGCGCUGUAUGCUAACUAUUAAAUUUAAAAUCUAAAUAUAAAAAUAUAAAAAUGUUAAAUUAAAUUUUAAAAUCUCCUCUCUCCCUCUCUAUGCGUUCGCCCACACACCUAUUGGAAUCUCUCAUCACCCUCGUUACUCCUCUAGCACUCCAAAUUUCUCGCGCUCUCUCCCUCGCCAUCAGUUAUGCCGUCGUGCAGGGUGAGGACCGCAGCUCCCCCUCCCCUCCCUCUCUCUCCCCCUCUCUCCCUCAGAUCCUUCCCCACCCCGUCACCAGCCCCGCCCCCGUCCAACCCUUUGCGCCUACCCGAGCACUCCCGUGCCUCCCCUCGGCUCGCACUCCGCCCGUUUCCCCCACCGCUACGGGCCCGAGCCCCGCAGCCACGCUGCAGGAGGACCCGGCGCCGCCGCGCAGCGCGAGCCCGCCACGCCCACUGCCGCCCAGGCGCCCCCAUCGCGCGGCAAGAAGGCAGAAGCAGGGGAGAGGAUGGGGUGAAGCAGGAACAGAGGGAAGAACUGGGGGGCGCGGGGGAAGACAGAAAGAAAGACCGGAGGGAAAGAAAAAGAAAAAAGGGGCCCGCCAACGAACAACCCGGGCGCGGUCGCGUGCAGGCGCGCCGCCGCACACCCCGUGGCGUCCGCUGCACGUGGGGGGGAAAGAGAGCGUAGAGUAGAGAAGAGAGAGAGCAAGAAGAGAAAGAUAGAGAGACCCCGUACGCGAGGCGCGGGUCGGGUACCCCGGCACCCCCGUGUCCCCCCUCUCUCUCUCUAUCUCUCUCUCGCUCUCCCGCGCGACCCUCGCGCGGAAGGAGCGCGGGCGCGGGCCCCUUGGGACCCCUCUUGUCCCCCCUCUCUCUCUCUCCCUCUCUCUCUCUGUCUGCUCUCUCUCUAUCUCUCUCUCUCUCCCUCUCUCUCUGUUCUUUCUCUCUCCCCUCUCUCUCUCUCUCUCUCUCUCUCGCGCGCGAGGCUCCCGCAAAACGCGGGGAGCUCGCCGUACAAACUCUCGAUUAUAUAGUUAUAUAGAUCGGUGGGAUUUGAUUUUGCGGGACCCAUCUCGGGGGUCGCGAUGCGGCGAAUGAAAGGACAAAAGCUUCUGUGUGUGGGCCUGAUUCGUACGGAAUGGUAUAUUGAUGAGGAAAAAUAAUUUGUACUGUCAAUUAAUAGGUGAUGUAUAAGUUACAUUCCACCCAUUUAAUAGGUGAGAUAUUUUUACUAAUUAUUUUAGUUACUUAGGAUGUGUUUGGUUCGAAGUCAGAAUCUGUAUCGGAAUCAAAACAAGAAUAAAUUGAAAAUGAAAUCGGAAUGAUCCAUUACCUUAUUUUGUUUGGUUCGCCACCUGAAUCGAAAUCGAAAUGAAAAUUAUUUUCAUUGUUGUUAUUUGGUCAGAUAAAUAUCAGAAACGUAAUCAAAUUAUUAUAUAUCGAUUUUAUCUUUAUAAUAUAUUUAUUUAAAUUUAAACUAAAAAUUAAAUAUGAAAAAUUUAUAUCAAAAUUUUAAAUUGAUGUCAAAAUUUUAAAUAUAUUGUUUAAAAAAAUUAAAAUUUGAAAUUGAACGGAUAAUUCAAAUAUAAAAUUAAAUUUUGAUAUAUUCUAAUUCAAACUUAAAAUUAUAAUUUAAAUUUCAAUUUGAAUCCAUAAAUUUAAUUCAAAUUUUAAAUAAAAUUAAAAUAAAAUUUUAGAUUUUAACUUAAAUUUAAAUUUAAAUUCAAAUUUAUAAAUUAGAUUCGAAAUGCUUGAUUGAAUUUUAAUUUUUGAUUUAAGUUCAAAUUAAAAUUUAAACUUAUAAAUAUAAUUUUUAAACUUAAACUUAUGUUUUAAUCAAAAAAUAAGUUUUAAAAAAAUUAAAUUUAAUCCGAAUAAAUCCAUUUCAUCUAGAUUCAAGAAAAACAGGCAAUUGGAGGAUUUCUAUUCACCCGAGAAUCAGAAUCGGAAUGAAAAUUCCACAUACCAAAUACGGACAAACGAAUUUGUCCACUCCAAUUUCGAUUCCUGGUGAAAAGGGGGCGAACUAAGCCUGCCCUUAAUGUGACUAGUAAUUCACUCCCAUUCGUUGAAUGGAUGGGAUGUAGGGGUGGAAACGAGCCGAGCUCGAGCGAGCUUACCUCGGUUCAAAUUCGACUUGAAAUUAAUUUCGAGCCUAAAUUUAAGUUCAAGUUUGGAUUGAAAUUAAUUUGAGCCGAGCUCGAGCGAGCCUAAUUUUCAGUCGAGCGAGCUCGAGCCCUAAACNCCCCACUUCACAUGGAAGUUACGCCCCACUUCUCAACCGUUCCCGCCUAAACGCUCUUGACCUUCAGGCGCCUUAUUGUCGACUCCUGAUGUACCACGUGUCCUUAUUUUUUUAGCUUAUACGUGGGUUAAGUCGGCGUGUGAAUUUUAAUUUUGGCAUCAACACCAAGUAUAUAAAGUUUCUAUAAAUAGAAUGUUACUUGAGGAAUGAUGAAACUAUAGGGGUGGAAACGAGCCGAGCUCGAGCGAGCUUACCUCGGCUCAAAUUCGGCUUGAAAUUAAUUUCGAGCCUAAAUUUAAGCUCAAGCUUGGAUUGAAAUUAAUUCGAGCCGAACUCGAGCAAGCCUAAUUUCGAGUUGAGCGAGCUCGAGCCCUAAACGAGCCACUUGAAAUUCUCAACAUCAUACAAUCAAUAGUUUAAUUUGUAUAGAACAUUAUCUAUAAUUUGAUACAAAAAUAUGUGUAAUAGUUCAAAAUAUAAAAUAAUUAUAUGAAAUAUAAUAUUAUAAUACGAAAAAAAAAUUUAUGAGUUGAAUAUCUAAUCUUUUCAGCCUCACAUGUCUUUUCUUCCGCCUUCAAUCUCCAUAUUAUUCAUUUUUAUUUAUGCACUCAAAAAUAAAUAUAUUACAUAGAUGAAUAUUAGAUUAAACCAUCCAAUCAUAUAUAACUAAAAUUAAAAUUUUAUAUGAAUAAUAAUUUUUUACUUUAAAAAUAUUCUGUAUAUUUUCUCGAGCAUAUAAUUAAUAGCAAGGUAGGCAACGACGAGCAUAUACUAUUACUCGGUAACUUGGAGGGCUUCUGGCUUGGUCACUUAGGGUGAGAGACAGAAAAAGAGAAAGAGAGAAACAUAUUGAAAAUUUAGAGCUCUGUGAAAGAAAGAAAGAAAGGAAAAAUAUAUAAAUUUAGUAAAAUUUUGCUCUUUUAUUUAUCUAUUGGGUUUGUUUUUAUGUGCCAACAACAUUGGCCCAAUUUUAANNNNNNNNNNNNNNNNNNNNNNNNNNNNNNNNNNNNNNNNNNNNNNNNNNNNNNNNNNNNNNNNNNNNNNNNNNNNNNNNNNNNNNNNNNNNNNNNNNNNNNNNNNNNNNNNNNNNNNNNNNNNNNNNNNNNNNNNNNNNNNNNNNNNNNNNNNNNNNNNNNNNNNNNNNNNNNNNNNNNNNNNNNNNNNNNNNNNNNNNNNNNNNNNNNNNNNNNNNNNNNNNNNNNNNNNNNNNNNNNNNNNNNNNNNNNNNNNNNNNNNNNNNNNNNNNNNNNNNNNNNNNNNNNNNNNNNNNNNNNNNNNNNNNNNNNNNNNNNNNNNNNNNNNNNNNNNNNNNNNNNNNNNNNNNNNNNNNNNNNNNNNNNNNNNNNNNNNNNNNNNNNNNNNNNNNNNNNNNNNNNNNNNNNNNNNNNNNNNNNNNNNNNNNNNNNNNNNNNNNNNNNNNNNNNNNNNNNNNNNNNNNNNNNNNNNNNNNNNNNNNNNNNNNNNNNNNNNNNNNNNNNNNNNNNNNNNNNNNNNNNNNNNNNNNNNNNNNNNNNNNNNNNNNNNNNNNNNNNNNNNNNNNNNNNNNNNNNNNNNNNNNNNNNNNNNNNNNNNNNNNNNNNNNNNNNNNNNNNNNNNNNNNNNNNNNNNNNNNNNNNNNNNNNNNNNNNNNNNNNNNNNNNNNNNNNNNNNNNNNNNNNNNNNNNNNNNNNNNNNNNNNNNNNNNNNNNNNNNNNNNNNNNNNNNNNNNNNNNNNNNNNNNNNNNNNNNNNNNNNNNNNNNNNNNNNNNNNNNNNNNNNNNNNNNNNNNNNNNNNNNNNNNNNNNNNNNNNNNNNNNNNNNNNNNNNNNNNNNNNNNNNNNNNNNNNNNNNNNNNNNNNNNNNNNNNNNNNNNNNNNNNNNNNNNNNNNNNNNNNNNNNNNNNNNNNNNNNNNNNNNNNNNNNNNNNNNNNNNNNNNNNNNNNNNNNNNNNNNNNNNNNNNNNNNNNNNNNNNNNNNNNNNNNNNNNNNNNNNNNNNNNNNNNNNNNNNNNNNNNNNNNNNNNNNNNNNNNNNNNNNNNNNNNNNNNNNNNNNNNNNNNNNNNNNNNNNNNNNNNNNNNNNNNNNNNNNNNNNNNNNNNNNNNNNNNNNNNNNNNNNNNNNNNNNNNNNNNNNNNNNNNNNNNNNNNNNNNNNNNNNNNNNNNNNNNNNNNNNNNNNNNNNNNNNNNNNNNNNNNNNNNNNNNNNNNNNNNNNNNNNNNNNNNNNNNNNNNNNNNNNNNNNNNNNNNNNNNNNNNNNNNNNNNNNNNNNNNNNNNNNNNNNNNNNNNNNNNNNNNNNNNNNNNNNNNNNNNNNNNNNNNNNNNNNNNNNNNNNNNNNNNNNNNNNNNNNNNNNNNNNNNNNNNNNNNNNNNNNNNNNNNNNNNNNNNNNNNNNNNNNNNNNNNNNNNNNNNNNNNNNNNNNNNNNNNNNNNNNNNNNNNNNNNNNNNNNNNNNNNNNNNNNNNNNNNNNNNNNNNNNNNNNNNNNNNNNNNNNNNNNNNNNNNNNNAUAGCAUAGUAGCCUCACUCUAUAUAUAUAUAUAUAUAUAUAUAUAUAUAUAUAUAUAUAUAUAUAUAUAUAUAUAUAUAUAUAUAUAUAUAUAUUUUCGAGCUUUUCGAGCUUUCAAGCCUAGUUCGAACGAGCCGAGUAAUACUCAAGCUCGGCUUGAAAUGAAUUUCGAGCCUUUUUAUUUGUUCAAGCUUGGCUCAUUUAAUUUCGAGUCGAGCUCGAGUGAGCCAAAUAUCUAGUCGAACGCGAGUCGACCGCGAGCCGGCUCGCUCAUUUGCCAGCCCUAAUGGGAUGUAUGAUAUACACUCUUAUUGGUAGGAGUGGAAACAAGCCGAGCUCGAGCGAGCUUACCUCAGCUCAAGCUUGGCUUGAAAUUAAUUUCGAGCCUAAAUUUAGGUUCAAGCUCGGUUUGAAAUUAAUUCGAGCCGAGCUCGAGCAAGCCUAAUUUCGAGUCGAGCGAGCUCGAGCUCUAAACGAGCUGCUUGAAAUUCUUAACAUCGUGCAAUCUAUAGUUUAAUUUUUAUAAAACAUAUCUAAAAUUUGAUACAAAAAAUGUCAAAUAGCUCAACAUACAAAAUGAAUGCGUGAAAUACGAUAUUAUAAUAUUAAAAAAAUUAAGAAAAGUGACUCUAUCAGUGAGUGAAAAAGAGAGAGAGAGCAAUUAGAGUUGGAUUUUGCUGGUUUGGUUUUGUGGGCCCAAUAAUCUAAAUUUUAUAAACAUAUAAUUAAAAUACAUAAUAUAUAUUAUUUUUUAUAUUUUAUAAUUAUAUAUAUAGAGAGUUCGGCUACUAUACUUGUGAGAACCCUGGUGUUCUGUUGUGGCGGCUUGUCGGCAGCUCUGGAGAGUGUCGGGACAAGUCCGAGUCGCAUUGGCGUCAAAUAGACGCAAGACGGACUCCGUGCGACGCGAGGGCAGCUUAUAGCGAAGAAUUUUGCAAAACAGCAGAAUUCUCUGCUUGCUGUACCGGUACAACCAGCGUGGCUGUACCGGUACAACCAACGCGCACUGGUUCAGCUGCUCUCGGGUUGGCCCUUGUACCGGUACAGGAGCCCGUGUACCGGUACAAGGGGGUAGGUAGAAGGCUAUUUAGGUAAUUCCCUCUCUCGUUUGUAUCACCAACACACCCUCUCUCUAUAUAGCUUCGUGUAGAGAGAGAGAAGUCCUCUUGCUGCAUUUCUUCAUCUCUCUCUCACCCUCAUCCGGUUGAAGGCAAGGAAGAAGCUCGGAUUCGUCGCUGACGUCGCGCCGCGGAGCCGUUUGGGGAUAUGAUUGUUGCCGGAGCAGUGCGCGGAGGCCGGGCGAGUGUGCGACUUCGCUGUUCUUGACGUCACGUCGGUGCUAGUCGUUGUCGAGGUGAAUGUUCCGUCGAAUUGCUUUGUUAUUUCUCCAAGCAUCAUUAAUUCGAGCUUAAGUGUUGUUUGCUGAAAUUCAUCGUCGACUGUUAGUAUUUCACCUCGUACUCGACGUAGGAGCAUCGGUUUGCGACGAGACUUGAUUCGUUGGAUUCGAGACUGCGAGAGGAAUCCACGAAGCCCUUACUUGUGGAUUUUGGUGAAGGUUAGCUUGGUCGAAACCCUUCUCUUCUCUGCUGUUGUGUAUUUGGACUUAAUUGUGAAUUUUCGAUGUUGAUAGCUUGGAGAUAGCUUGAUUUCGAGACUCGGACAUUUUCAGUCGAUCCAGCAGGUUGUGCCGCAGUCGAGGGAGUUCCCUACUGCCGGGGAUUAGCUUUGAGGUGGGUUUACAUCGGUUUUACUCCUAAGUUCAUAAUCGUCGACAUGUAUAGAUUUCGAUUUUGGAUGAUCCAUUCUAGCUCGAAUUCAUGGAUUAUAUGGUAGAUUGCAAAUCUGAAUUUGAAGCAUGUGGUAAUAAAUUGAGUAGGUUAUAUAUGUUGAACUUGAAAUUUGAAUUAGGAGAAAACCUGCGAUUUGGACCUGUCACUUGUUUAAACUGUCUGAUUUAGCUCUAAGAACAGUUAUAAAAUUGUACUGUCGCAGUAUCCUCGAGACGAGUACUCCAGGUAGUUUAGGAUACAUUUACGAUCGUGCUGAUAUGCCGAGUGGAUUUUUACAGGGUCGUUUGGGCUCUUUCGGACUUUUGGGCGCCGUUGGGGUUGACGGUGGACCCGGUUCGCCGUUUUGGCGUCAGAUUGUGCCGAGGGCAUGUUACUUGUUGGUUGUUAGACCAGUUAGAGUCGAUUACUUGGACUUUGGCUUGACAGAGCCUAAUUGAGCUCGACAGAGAUACGCUGCAUACUCGAUUGAGUAGCGCCCACGAGUGCCACUCCGGAGACGGGCUUUGUACUUUCGCGUUGGUGUCGCUCAUGCCGGUUGAACUUGUUCUCCACCGACCAGUUAGUGUGGAGGUAGCUGGAUAGUCGCAACUGGGCAGAGACGGGUGUAUUCACAGUCCCCGGGACGAGUAUCUUUACAGUCCCGAUUGGAUUGGGUCAGUUUUGACAUUUCCUACAGUUGGUUAUCAUAGAGCAGGAUGGUGUACGGACUAGCAGCUGUAGAAUUCAUUCCAGCAUUUUACUUUUACUAUUGCUCCCUUUUGUAGACUUAGUGGGUGGACGGAUGUUGUUUUGGGCGGCACCCACUGAGGACUACUUGUUUUUAUAGUAGUUCUCACGCCCAGCUGUUACCCCUGUUUUGUAGAGCCACAGGUUUCGGCUGCUGCGCCUUCCGCGGAUCACGAUCGAGGCAAGGGCAUCGCGAGUUAGAGCCCUACCCAUCGAGCAGAGCUAGAGGCACCCUACUGCAGGUAGUUGUUUUAUUUCGAGCUUAUGUACAUAGUACUUAACUCGCCAGUGCGAGUAACUCUGUAUUUCGAUUUUUGAACUAUGUAUAUGAAGCUCAGUUUGUUUAGCUUUUGUUUACUCGAGCAGCUCUAUACUACUGUUUGUACUAUUGUAUGUUUACAGGUAUAGCUGUCGCUUCGUAUACAGGGAAAAUUUCUUUGUAUACGACGGAUUUGUUGGCGUGCCCGGGGAACGAGACAUCCGGGGCGUGACAAUACUCCUAUUUGUAUAGAUUUCUUUAUACUCAUAAGUUUUCGAUUGUUAGAUCUAUGCUUUUGACCAUUUUCAUCAGUAAAUCAUACUAUUCAACCAAUCACCCACUCAAUCCUAGAGGACCACUAUUAUCCUAAUUGCACAUCCAACGGCAAAAAAUUUAUUAGUAUAAAGGAGUCUAUACUCAUAAGAGUAUAGUACACCUAGCCUAUAUAUAUAUAUAUAGAAUUAGGUUACUAUAUUAUUAAUAGUACCAACCGCUAGCUAUUAGGUUUUCAGCCCUUAGAUGAAAGGAUGUGUUGUCAGGAUGAUAGUAGCCCCCUAGGGUUGAGGAGGUGGAUAGUUGAAGAGUAUGAUCUAACGGAUGAAAAUGACAAAAGGGGUAGAUCUAAUGGCAGAAAACUCGAUAGCACCAAAUGCUUGGUACUAUUAAUAGUAUAGUAGCCAGAUUCUAUAUAUAUAGGUAGAUCUAACGGUAGAAAACUCGAUAGCACAAAACGAUUGGAACGAUAGAUAGUAUAAUAGCCGGACUAGAAAUAUAUAUAUAUAUAUAUAUAUAUAUAUAUAUAUAUAUAUAUAUAUAUAUAUAUAUAGAGAGAGAGAGAGAGAGAGAGAGAGAGAGAGAGAGAGAGAGAGAGAGUCCGGCUACUAUAUUUUUGAUAGUACCAAGUACUUAGUGUUGUCGAAUUUUGUGCCGUUAGAUCUACCCCUUUGACUAGUUUCACCCGAUAGAUCAUACUAUUCAACUAACCACCCAUUCAACUCAAUGAAAUCACUAUCAUUCUAACCGCAUAUCCCUUCAUUCAAGGGCCGAAAACUUUAUUAUAAUUAAGUGGUUGGUACUAUUAAUAGUAUAGUAUUUAUUUAUUUAUUUUUUAUUUUUUUUGAGAGAUAGGUAGCAUGCUACUCGCUUCGUUUAUUUUAUUUAGAAAUAAACUUAGCUGAAAAUGUGAAUCAACUAGGAUUCGAACUUGGGUGUCAGGUACCAACUACCAAGCCCAUUGCCACUUGCUCUAGGGACGGUCGGUACUAUUAAUAGUAUAGUAGACUAAUUCUAUAUAUAUAUACAUAUAUAUUUCGAGCUUUUCGAGCCUAAUUCGAGCGAGCCCGGUAAUACUUAAGCUUGGCUUGAAAUUAAUUUCGAGUCUAAAUUUAGGCUCAAGCUCGACUUGAAAUUAAUUCGAGCCGAGCUCGAGCGAGCCGAAUAUUGAGCUGAACGCAAGUCAAAACGAGCCGGCUCACUUGUUUGCCAGCCCUACUUAUUGGGGUGUAUACAUAGCAUUGCUUGAUUGAUAAUGAGGCCUUUUUUUUUUUUUAUUUAGCUCUUUAAAUUUUAUUUUUAACAAAUGAUGCUAAUAUAUUUAUAUUUGUAUAAAUAAUUCUUUUCUUGUCACGCGAGGGCCUAAGUGGUAUUUUUAAGUUGAACAUGUUGAUUUAAUUAUCGUGUUUAAACACGGUGAUGAGAUCAAUGUGUUUCUUCUUAUAUUUGUUAUCGUUCCUAAGUUACAUAAAGGGACUAUAGUGUGAAUAUGAAUACGGUGAUCCAAUUAUCAUGUUUAACUUAAAAAUGCCUACAUGACGCUUGCGUGGCAAGAAAAGGACCAUAUAUAUAAAUAUAAAUUUGUUAAAAUUAUUUGUCAGAAAGAGCCAUUGAUAAUGACGAGGCCGGCGAAGAAUUCAAUUGAUCCUAAGGGUUCUUUGGUUCAACAUAAAAUUAUGAAAAUUAAUUUUUCAUAGGAAAAAUUUUUGGUAGAAAAUAUUUUUAUGUUUUGUAGUGUAUAGUUCAUAGAAAAGUAAAUUUUUAUUAAUAUUUAUUUAAUUGAAAGAAAACAAUUAAUAUUUAUUUUAUUUGGUGAAAAAAAUGAAUGAAAAAAAUUUUACGCAGCUUGAAUUUUCGUUAUCGUAAAAAAAACAGCAAAAAAUGAAAAUUUAGAAAAAAUAUUUUUUUCGUUGAAUCAAACAAGUAGAAAUUAAAAUAUUUUUCAUUCCGAAAAUAAUUUUUCUGUUCGUUUACGCUGAACCAAACCGCUCCCUAAAUAAAAUUCAAAUCCGAAUAACUAAUUUUAUAUUAUAUAAAAUCUAAAAAUUUUAAUAAUUUAUAUAUAUAUUUUAAAAGUUUAUAAUUGUUUUUAUUUUGAAAAUGUAGAUUUGCGCAUUACUUUGAAAUUUAGUAGAGAGAAAAGUUGAUGAGUAUUUUGUAUGUAUUUGACGAAUAUCAACAUCCAUACAGUAAACUUGAGCUUCAUUUGAUCACAAUUACUAUUUUCUAAAAAAAAAAAAGAAGAAACUUUACUUCCCCAAAUUUCAUGUACAAAUUAUCUAUAACUAUUACCUAUAUAUAUUAUCCUUUCUAAAUUUGUCAUAUUCUAACGUUUCCCGUUUCCUUCAUUAUGGGUACGGGUACUCCAUCCUGAACCGGUUCAUGUCCUCCACUUAUUUUUCUCUUUUUUUGUUUAAAUGAAAUCAAUUAUUAUUGAGUGUGGGCUUUCUCAAACCGGUUCAAUUUCUCUAUAUAUUUUUUUUCUUUUUUUACUCGAACCAAAACGGAUUUUUUUUUUUUUACUUGAACCGAACCGGUCACACCUCUACAUUGGGCUGAACUGUUCCUCUUCCACUUUCUUUUUCUGUUACCUUCCUUCAUAAGCAAAAUGCAUCUCACCCUUUAUCAUCGCGUCUUUCAUCAUUGUUUUCUCUAAUUAUCUAUUGGUCGCAUCAUAUGAAUUAUUAUGCUAGCUAAUAUUAACGAGAGAUUGCUCAGUAGCCGAAGACGUGUGAUGUUUGAUAACCAUUUCUAUAAACUAAACGCCAAAAUUAUCUUAAGAUAGAGAUGGAUAUAUUGGGGUGAUUUUAAAAGGAAAGAAAAAAAAAAUAGCACCAGAGUUAUCAAAAUAUUGGCGGCUACUCGUGUUUAAUUAGGAAGUAAUCAAACCCUAAUCACUCAUUCAUGCAGUUGAGCAUGAAUGGACAAUAUACCAAGAAGAAUAAACACCAAUCGCUCUCUCGUAAUUUGUCUCCUUCCUCCUCUCGCUCUAUCUUUGUCACUCCUACCUACUGUCUUAAAUGGACAAUUUUCAAACUUUUUUUAUUUACUCCGCGCUUAGAAGGUUUAUAUAAAAAAGGCAAUUGCUUAUACACUUCUGAAAAUUUUUCAAUUUUCUAAUUUAUACUUCUCUUAAAAGGCUAAUAUUAAAAUAACAUUUUUACACUUUAAGUUAGUUCAAAUAUAUUUCUAGAGUUAAAUUACCAAUCGUUGUUAUCUCUGCAAAAUUACUAUUUUGUCCUUUCAAACAUACUCUUCUACCAUCACUAGUUUUUUUUUAUUUGUCCUUAAAUUAGGGCAAAAGAAGUAUUUUGAUUUUUGAUCUUUUCAAAUAUACCUUUCUACCAUCACCAACUUUUUUUAUUUGCCCUAAAGUUAAGGAUAAAAGAAGUUUUUUUUUUUUUUUUUCUUUUUCUUUUUUUACCUUUGCUAGACAUUUAACUCACGUUUAACGCAAUAUAACUUGACGGCUAGCAACUGCGGUGGUAUUUUUGAAUAACGGAGGAACAUAAUAGGGAUAUAUUGGAAAUAAAAAAAAAAGAAAGGAUAAAUUAGAUAUUUUCGAAAUUUAGAAGGAUAUAUGGGCAAUUAUUCCUAUAUAAAAAUACUUUUUUAAUGUUCUAAGUUCUUUCUAAUAUAUCCGAGGAGUUAAAUUCUAUUAGUGAAACUCGUUAUCUCUGUGAAAUUACUAUUUCAUCCCUUCAAAUAUACCUUUCCACCGCAUAAACUUUUCUUAUUUACUCUUAAAUUAGAGGCAAAAGAAUUAGGUUAAAUUACAGAAAUCCCCCGUCAAAAUCCGAUUUUUCACUUUUUUCCUCUGUCAUUUAAAAACCUAUACUUUGCUAUUUUAUAAAAUGAAAAAUGUUCACCUCACCCCUUACCGUUAGUGAUCCGUUAAGGUUCCAUUAUAAAAUAUUUUUUAUGCCAAAAAUAUCCUCCGCCCUCUCUAUUAUUGCUGCGCCCUCGCCUACAUCUCCGUCCGCGCCCAUAAACACCCCCUCGCCCUCCUCCGCCGCCUUGCGUUCAUCCUCGUUGCCCUUGCCCACCUUUCCAUUCAUGCCCACCUCGAUUUCCUCCCUACUGUCGCCGAAAUGGAGGGGCGACGAGGGUGCAGGAGGACAAGGGGAGUAUGAAGAAAAUAGAGAGAAAUCGCGGCUGAUCGAGGCGCUAACCGUGGCCGAUCAAGGUGACGGAUGAGCAAGAUAAGAGCGGAGACGAAAAUGGUGAGAGGCAAAAUUAUCAUUUUGUCAUCAUAGUUCACACCGUACCCCCUGUGAAUAUUUUUUAUUUUGUAAGGGGGUAAAGUGUAGGGUUUUAAAUAACAUGAAGAGAAAGUGAAAAAUCGAAUUUUGACAGGGAGGUUUUAUGUAGUUAAGCCAAAAAAUUAUUUUGACUUUUUGCCAUUUCAAAUAUACCUUUUUUUAGAGUUAGUAUUUUUUUUUUUUUUUUUUUUGCUCGUAGGUUAGGGAGAAAAGAAGUAUUUUGAUUUUUUUUAAAUUUUGGUAGAAAUUUAAGUCAGGUUUAAUCCGAGAUAACUUAUCAGGUACUAACAGCAAAAUUAUUUUUGAAUAAUAACAAAAUCUAUAAGGGAUAUUUAAUAUAAAAAAGUAAAAAUAUAUAAAAUAUUUCAGAAGUUUUAAAAGGUAUAUAAGUAGUUAUUCCAAAUUCGAAUGGUGUCUGAGAAAGUUCUUGGACACCAUUAAGCGAGAUGAAACUCAGAGCAGCUGGAUUAUAUUAGCAGAGCUAAUUAAUUUCGAUAUUGAUAGAUAAAUUUAUUAAAUUUGAUAAUUACUUAGUAACUCAAUUUGAUCAGAUUUUAUAAAUAUAUUUUGCUGCGAUGGAAAAGAAAUAUGUUAGCAUUUCUUUCUUUUACAUAUUAAUGUUGUACUGAUUCACCGCCUCAUUAAUUGAGAUUUUAUUAAAAAAGUUAAAAAUAAAGAAAAUUUAUUUGAACUAUGAAUCAUUUUGAAUCAGCUAUUUAAUUUUUUUAAAUUUUUAUUUUACUAUUUAAUCUUUCAAUUUGUUUGAUUUUGAUCCAGUAAACAAUAUUUUUCAUUUCAAAAUUUAAACUAAUUAUUUAUUUUAAUAAAUUUAUAAUUGCUUAUAGAAUAGCAUAAAGUAUGUAAUUAAAUCUGUAAAAAAAUAAACAGUGUUUAACUUUUGAAGUCAAAUACCAUUGGCGGAUUGAAAUCAAACAAAUUGAAAAGUUGAGCACUAAAAUCAAAAUUAGUCGAUUCCGGUUCAGAUAAAUUCGGUACGUUUUUAUCAAAAAAAAAAAAAAAAUCAAAACAGUUUAGCUACUUAUUUGAUCCGAUAUAUAUGACAACUAUUAUAUUACAAAAUUUGGCCGCACCAUUCAUUUUAAUUGGGGCUGUAGUCACGUGAAUGAUGUUAGAUAUAUUACAAUUAAAUUUAUUAAAAUAGAUAAUAAAUUUAAAUUUUCUAAUAAAAAUGUUAUUAAAUGACUUAAAUUAAAUAAGUUGAAAUAUUAGAUAGCAAGAUUAGAAUUUUUAAAAUUAAUUUGAUUUCACAAAGUAAAUAAUAUAUAUAAUAAUAUAACUUUAAAAAAUUUUAUUUUUUUUUAGAGAGAAUGGUAGCAUGAUAUCCGCUUCAUUACUUUUAAAAAAAAAUUAUUUUAAAAUAUACAGUAACCUGAUAUCGAAGUAGGACCUUUCAUACGAACUAGUUGGAUACGGGAGAACUCUAUAAUUUCACUAAAAUUUAAUACUAGAUAUAGAUUUUUUUUUUUGAGAGAUAGGUAGCACGCUACCCGCUUCGUUUAUUUCAUUUAGAAAUAAAUUUAGCUGGAGAUAUGAAUCAAAUAUGAUUCGAAUCUGGGUCUCGGGUACCAAUCACCAAGCCUUUUGCCACUUGCUCCAGGGACGGUCGGUAUAUUGAUAUAGAUAUUGAUAUUGAUAUGUUUAGGGGAUUAUCAUGGCUAGCACGUGGUAGAUAAUGUCACGCCCCGGAUUACACGUUCCCCGGGCACGCCGAUAAAUCCGCCGUAUACAAAGAAAUUUUUCCUGUAUACGAAGCGACAGCUGUACCUGUAAGUCAAACACUACUACGAACAGUAGUAGAGAGCUGUUAGAGAAAACAGAAGCUAAACAAACAGAGUUUCAUAUACAUAGUUCAAAUCCAAAAUACAGAGCUACUCGCACUGGCGAGUUAAGUCAACUAUGUACAUAAACUCGAAACAAAACAUCUACCUGCAGUAGGGGCACCUCUAGCUCAGCACGUCGGGUAGGGCUCUAACUCGCGACGCCCUUGCCUCGAUCCUGGUCCAUGUCACUUUAUUCAGCUGCCGCGUGAUCCACAAUAACCUGAUGCGAACCAUCAUUGUCUUCUUUUACAAAUAACACUGGCACUCCCAGCGAGCACACUGGGCCUCACCGAACCCUCUAUCCAUCAAAUCCUGGAAGCUGUGCCAUUUAGCUCUCUUCAGCUUCUGAUACCGGCGCAUCCGAUAGGUAACUUUGCGAUUGGUCAGUUCCAGGAACUACAUACAAUCACAAACUCAAUCUCCUCUCCGGCAGGGCACGUCUCAAACUCAGGCGGGAAACACAUUUCGGAAACUCCGCGGACGACAGGAAAUUUAAUUCUCGAGUCCGGCGUCGACGCUGUAGGUACCUCACAGACUGGUCGCCUAAGAAAGCAAUUACACCCGUAGCUCCGCAUCUGUCGCGAGCCUCGCGAAGAUAUCAGGUGGCAAACAGCGUGCCUGCAGCCUUCGUGAAAGUAAACUCCUCCUGGCCGUGGCUGCGCGGAACGUCACCGUCCUCGCUCCACGUCGAUUAGUGCCUUGUACCGCGCCGCCAAUCAUACCGAGCCACAACGUCAAAGUCUGCAGCUGCCUAAGCACCAAACAGGAUCUCGGGCUUAUUGAUCCGACGACAUCCAACUGCACCGGACAUGGACGCAAUCAACACUCUGCAACCUGUAAAACAUGGUUCGGAAUCUGCACUCUCGGUGCCUUGUGACAAUGCCCCUAACUCUAGACAUGAACAAUGCAAAUGCUCUGUUAACAAAAGAAUGCCGAGGCUCCAUUAUCAAAAAAAAAGGUACGAGUACGAAUGCAGGAAUCNNNNNNNNNNNNNNNNNNNNNNNNNAAAGUGAUACUUGCCACCACUCGGUCGGCUGCUGUAGAGUCCUCCACCUGAGCUGCAUAGACUCUGCCACUCGGAGCCUGCUGUCGCCGCUCAUCCUGUCGCGGCGUGGACGACCUAUCCUUCUGGCGGUAACUUGGUGCUGCUCUUUAAGUCUGCUGGGGUGCUGGUGGAGCCGAAGCUGAUGAUGGUGCUGGAGAUGCUGCUCGGGGACAAGCUGCCCUCAUGUGUCCCGGCUGACCACAUCCGUAGCACCGGCCCUCCCUCUGCUCACACUGUCUGGGCCAGUGUGGUCCUCCGCAGAUCACACACUGCGGCGUCCUCUCUGGCUGUCCCCUCUGACGAGAAUCCCUAGAUCGCUGACGCCCCGAGAACCCACGACCCUGGGAACGCGAUCGUGGAGGCCUCGGUGGACGCUCUGCUACUCGACUGACCUCCGUCGUCUGGAGCUGGGCGCUUCCUGUCCUGACUCUGUCCCGGCCCCUGAGCCCUCUCCCGCAGCGACACCUCUCCUCUCUUCUCCCAUAAUGCCUGCUUAAUGGACGCAUCCAAAGUCCUCGACCUCUGCGCCCUAACAAACCUGAAAAGGUCGGGUCUCAAACCCUGCUCAAACAAGUAGACCCUAUGUGCCUCGUCUCUGGCCACGAACGGAACACAGUUCAGGAGCCUAGUAAACUCCCGAACAUAGUCCUGAACUGUCCGCUCACCCUGCUUUAUCCUCUUCAAGUCCUCCUCGAUCUUCUGUUUCAUGCUGUUGGGGAAAUACAUCCCAUACAGCAUUCUACAGAACUCAUCCGAACUCAGCUGCGUCGCCACCAGUCCCUGGUCUCGCCUCGCUCUCCGCCACCAAUCAUGUGCAUCACCCGACAGACAGUGUACUCCCAAAGGUACCUGCUCUCACUCUGGAACGAACAGAUCCUCGAAUAACUUCUCCAUCGCACUGACCCAUUCCUCAACAAUCCAGGCCUCAGUGCCUCUGCCAUCGAAGAUCGGUGGGUCAAAUCGACGAAAACGAGCUAAUCUCUCCUUCCACCGCUUCUGCUCGACCUCAGUCAACGGUACUGGCCCCCUAGCCGGCGCAACUGGCACUACUGGAACUGCUGCGACGGAGGAACUGCUGCAGCUGGUACGGUCACUGGAGUAGUCAGUGGUAGAACAGUUUGCUCUGGUACACUCGGUGCUGAACUCGGUGGCUGAGAUAUUCUCUCACACAACCUCUGCAACAACUUCCCCUGCUGCCUCGUCACCUCAGUCAGGGCAGCCAGCUGUGCACUCAGAUCCGAGGGUGCGCUAGCCUCAGGUCGCGCACUCGGCUCCACAACAGGGGGUGCACUCGCCUCCGGUCUGUCACCCUGCUCCUGUCGAGUACUCUGCUCCAUCUGCUCAAGUCUCUCAGGGGAUCCCGCACGAUCCCGCGCCAACUGGGCACGCUCUCGCAACGACGGUCGACCUCGGCGACGAUACAUAGCUGAAAGGAACAAAUCGGGGUCAGAUACAACACAACACUCUCGACCCAAUCAACGAAAGUCUGGAAGGCGGUCCCUGUUUUCUUCCAAAAUUAUGUCGUCUGCAGCCAACAUAAUUUCUCAGGCCAAAACAGGAACUCCUUCGGUCACUCGCCCACUCUAGGAGGAGUUAGAACAGCUAAUCAUUGACUUUCACAAUAAAUUACGCCUCUCGCGUCUUGCCUUCCUAAGGUUUGCCAGACUUAGGUUUCCUAGGUCCCAACGACCUAUAGCAAAGCUCUGAUACCAACUUAAUCUGUCACGCCCCGGAUUACACGUUCUUCGGGCACGCCGACAAAUCCGCCGUAUACAAAGAAAUUUUCCCUGUAUACGAAGCGAUAGCUGUACCUGUAAAUCAAACACUACUACGAACAGUAGUAGAGAGCUGCUAGAGAAAACAGAAGCUAAACAAACUGAGUUUCAUAUACAUAGUCCAAAUCCAAAAUACAAAGCUACUCGCACUGGCGAGUUAAGUCCACUAUGUACAUAAACUCGAAACAAAACAUCUACCUGCAGUAGGGGCACCUCUAGCUCAGCACGUCGGGUAGGGCUCUAACUCGCGACGCCCUUGCCUCGAUCCUGAUCCGCGGACGGUGCAGCAGCCGGAACCUGUGGCUCUGCAAAAACAUAGGUAACAACUGGGCGUGAGAACUACUGUAAAAACAAGUAGUCCUCAGUGGGUACCGCCCAAAACAACAUCGGUCACCCACUAAGUCUACAGAAGGGAGCAAGGAUAGAAGGAAAGCAGGAAGCAUACUCUACCGCUAUCAACCACUACACUAUCAUGCUCUACACUAACCAACUGUAGGAAAUGUCAAAUCUGACCCAAUCCAAUCGGGACUGUAAGCAUACCCGUCCCCGGGACUGUGAAUACACCCGUCCCUGCCCCGUUGUGACUAUCAGGCUCCAUCCACACUAACUGGUCCGUGGAGAGCAAGUCCAACUGGCAUUAGCGACACCAACGCGAAAGCACAAAGCCUGACUCCGGAGUGGCACUCGUGGGCGCUAUCCAACCGAGUAUGCAGCGUAUCUCUGUCGAGCUCAAACAGGCUCUGAAAAGCCAAAGUCAAGAAAUCGACUCUAACUAGUCUAACAACCAACAAGUAACGUGCCCUCGGCAUAAUCAGACGCCAAAAAGGCGAUACGGGUCCACCGUCAACCUCAACGGCACCCUACAGUCCGGAACAGCCUGAACGACCCUGUAAAAUCUCCUUGGCGAAAACAGCACGAGUGUAGAUAUACUCUAAACUACCUGGAGUACUCGUCUCGAAGAUACCGCGACAGUACAAUUUAAUAACGGCUCCUAGAGCUAAAUCAGGCAGUUUAAUCAAGUGACAGGUCUAAAUCGCAGGUUUUCUCCUAAUUCAAUUUCCAAGUCCAACAUGUAUAACCUAUUCAAUUUAUUACCACAUGCUCCAAAUUCAGAUAUGAAAUCUACCAUUUAAUCCAUAAAUUCGAGCUAGAAUAGAUUAUCCAAAAAUCGAAACUAUACAUGUCGACGAAUGUGAACUUAGGAGUAAAACCGAUGUAACCCACCUCCAAAAAACUAAUCCCUGGCAGCACGAAACCCCCUCGGCUGCGACACCACCUGCUGGGUUGACCAAAAACGCCCGAGUCUCGAAAUCGAGCGAACUCCAAACUAAAAACACCAAAAUUUCUCAAUUCAGUCUAAAAUCCACGACAGCAGAGAAGAGAGGAAUUUCGACCUAGCUAACCUUCACCAAAAUUCGCAAGUAAGGGCUUCGUGGAUUCCUCUCGCAGUCCUGAAUCCAACGAACCAAGUCUCGUCGAAAUCCGAUGCUCCUACGUCGAGAACGAGCUAAAAUACCAACAGUCGACGAUGAAAUUCAGCAAACAACAUCUCUCCGAGUUGAAGUAGUAAGAACUUGCCCAAAAAUCCAAGGAAAGGCUGAAUUACUCACCUCGACAGCGAUUAGCACCGGCGCGACGUCAAGAACGGCGAAGUCGCACGCUCGCCCGGUCUCCUCGCGAUGCCCCGGCGUCAAAUACGUGCUCGAACGAUCCCGCGGCGCGACGUGGGCGACAAAACACCAACUAAGCUCCUUCCUUGCCUUCAACCGGAUGGGAGAGUGAGAGGGGAAGGAGAAGCACAAGUAAACCCUCUCUCUCUCAGCUCACAGCAGCCUUUGUAGAGAGGGAGUUGGUGGGAGAUACAAACGAGGUGGAGAAAUUACCUAAUUACCCUGUCACCUACCCCCUUGUACCGGUACACGGGCUCCUGUACCGGUACAAGAGCCAACCCGAGAGCAGUUGAGCCAUUGCGCGAUGGUUGUACCGGUACAGCUACACUGGUUGUACCGGUACAGCAAGCAGAGAAUGCUGGUGUUUUGCAGAAUUCUUCGCGAUAAGCUGCCCUCGCGUCGCACGGAGUUCGUUUUACGUCUAUUUGACGUCAACGCGACUCGGACUUGUCCCGACACUCUCCAGAGCUGUCGACAAGCCUCCACAGUCAGACACCAGGGAUCUCACAGAUAAGGACAUAAAUCAUAUAAUGCUUUUGUGUAAUUAGUCCAAACGUUGAAUCAAGUCGUGAGUUCUUAGAAUUUAUUUUUGAGCAAUGUUAUCUGUAUAUCAAAAAGUAAAGUGUAUAUUUUACUUUCAUUUUAUUCAAGUGUCAUUAGUUUUUUUCUUGCAUCAACUUUUUUUUUUUUUUUUACUAAAAAUUAUUUAAAUUUUUAUAAUUUUUAAAACUAGGGGUGUAGAACCUACACCUUUUUCUGCAUGUGCAAGUAAAAUUUCUCUUUAUCUUUUUUAGAUGAAUUAGAUAUUACUGCGAGCUGAAUCUUUCAACCGCUGACCCAGUCGAAGUUCUCCCUCGAGAAGUGUGUAAGGAUGCAGAACGGCUACAAACGAUGACAUUCGAAGUUUGCGCCCUUCGACGGAUCAAGUGAUUGGGCUGAUGAGGGAUCAGAUCAGCCGAGUUCGUGUGAGAUCCCUGCGGUUCUGUGGUGGAGGCUUGUCGGCAGCUCUGGAGAGUGCCGGGACAAGUCUGAGUCGCGUUGGCGUCAAAUAGACGCAAAACGGACUCCGUGCGACGCGAGGGCAGCUUACCGCGAGGAAUUCUGCAAAACAACAGAAUUUUCUAUUUGCUGUACCGGUACAACCAGUGUGGCUGUACCGGUACAACCAGCGCGCACUGGUUUAGCUGCUCUCGGGUUGGCUCUUGUACCGGUACAAGAGCCCGUGUACCGGUACAAGGGGGUAGGUAGAGGGGCUUUUUGGUAAUUCCAAGCCUCGUUUGUAUCACACCACUCCACCUACUUCUAUAUACAGGCGUAGAGAGCUUGAGAGGGAGUGUUCUUGCUGGUCCUUCUUCCUCUCUCCCUCUCUAGCUUGGUUCGACCGUGGAGGAGUUCGGUUCGAGCUCGGAUUCGACACCGACGUCGCGCCGCGAAGCCGUUCGGGGAUACGGUUGGGAUCGUAGCGCUGCGAGGAAGCUAGGCGAGGGUGCGUUUUCGCCGUUCUCGACGCCGUGUCGCUGUCCGAUUAGCCUUUGAGGUGAGUGUUCCGUUGCAUUGCUUCAAGUAUUGACAUUUCGAGCUAGGUGCUGUUUGCUGAUUCCCAUCGUCGACCGUUAGUAUUUCAGCUCGUACUUGGCGUAGGAGCAUCGGAUUUCGACGGGAGUUGGUUUGUUGGAUUCGGGACUUCGAGAGGAAUCCACGAAGCCCUUACUUGCUAGUUUUGGUGAAGGUUAGCUUGGUCGAAGCCCUGUUCUUCUCUGCUGCUGUGAAUUUUGGACUGAAUUGAGAAUUGUCGAUUGUAGAGCUUGGAGUUAGCCCGAGCAUUGGACUUGGAGGAUUCCGGUUGAUCCAGCAAGGAUCAUUUUUGGUUCGAGGCUUCGUUUGCUGCCAGGAUCUAGCAUUUUGAGGUGGGUUACAUCGGUUUUGAAUCCUAAGUUCUAAUCGUCAAUAUGUAUAAACUUCAAGUUUUAGUAUAGUCUUUUCUAGCUCGAAUUCAUGGAUUAUAUUAUAGAUUGCAAAUCUGAAUUUGGAGCAUGUGGAAAUAAAUUGAGUAGGUUAUACAUGUUGGACUUGAAAUUUGAACUAGGAGAAAACCUGCGAUUUGGACCUGUCACUUGUUUAAACUGCCUGAUUUAGCUCUAGGAGCCGUCAUAAAAUUUGUACUGUCACGUUGACGGUGGAUCCGUAUCGCCUUUUUGGCGUCAGAUUGUGCCGAGGACACUUUACUUGUUGGUUGUUAGAGCAGGUUGAGUUAGUUACUGGACUUUGGCUUUCGAGAGCCUGAUUGAGCUCGACAGAGAUACGCUGCAUACUCGGUUGGGUAGCGCCCACGAGUGCCACUCCGGAGACGGGCUUUGUGCUUUCGCGUUGGUGUCGCUCAUGCCGGUUGGACUUGCUCUCUACGGACCUGUUAGUGUGGAGGUAGCUGGAUAGUCGCAACUGGGCAGGGACGGGUGUAUUCACAGUCCCAGGGACGGGUAUGUUUACAGUCCCGAUUGGAUUGGGUCAGAGUUGACAUUUCCUACAGUUGGUUAGUGUAGAGCAUGAUAGUGUAGUGAUUGUAGCGGUUGAGUGUACUUCCUACUUUUUCGGCUAUCCUUACUCCCUUCUGUAGACUUAGUGGGUGGACCGAUGUUGUUUUGGGCGGUACCCACUGAGGACUACUUGUUUUUACAGUAGUUCUCACGCCCAGUUGUUACCCCUGUUUUGCAGAGCCACAGGUUUCGGCUGCUGCGCCUUCCGCGGAUCAGGAUCGAGGCAAGGGCGUCGCGAGUUAGAGCCCUACCCGACGUGCUGAGCUAGAGGUGCCCCUACUGCAGGUAGAUGUUUUGUUUUGAGUUUAUGUACAUAGUAGACUUAACUCGCCAGUGCGAGUAGCUCUGUAUUUUGGAUUUGAACUAUAUAUAUGAAACUCAGUUUGUUUAGUUUCUGUUUUCUCUAGCAGCUCUCUACUACUGUUCGUAGUAGUGUUUGAUUUACAGGUAUAGCUGUCGCUUCGUAUACAGAAAAAAUUUCUUAUAUACGGCGGAUUUGUCGGCGUGCCCGGAGAACGAGACAUCCGGGGCGUGACAGUUCGUACCUUUUACUACUAAAUCGGUUUGGCUGUAUGAGCCGAGUCAAGAAUUGCACAGUAUUUUUGGGUCGACUGAAGAGCUGAAUGCUUAUAAAUAUUACUUAAAAGUUGAAAAUUCGUUCAAAAGAGGGUAUGCCAGUGCGGCGUACAGACUCAAGAAAUCUAACUUAAAGACUGCUCUCACGAAAAACAGUAAAUGUUAGGAAGAAAGAAAGGUUAAAAGUAAACUGCUCCUAGAAAAUAAGGAAAAUGCGUAGAAUUGAAGUGGUCUUCUGUUCGCAAGGAAACAAGAUAUCUCUUUCAGGCGUUAUCUGUUUAUUUAUACCCCGCCUGUUCUUAUUCGGUUAUCUACAUGAUCAGCUAUUUCCCUACUUUCGUGGGCCACUACAGGCCGAUCCCAACUCAUGAAACUGUCUGCAGUUUGUUGUGAUUUGUUCUUUGUUUCUGGUGCACCAAACAUCCGAUAUCCUUAGCUUUGCACCAAACACACAAACUGAAAAAUUCAGUUUGCGUUCGGCUCGUUUACUAAAUGAGCGAUUCGAUCUUGAGCUCAUUUCAAGCAAAACAUGAGCCGACUCACAAAUAACCCCUAUGCCCAACACAGCCUACGCAAUAGGAAGGGAAGAAAAGAUAAGGGUGAAAGAGAAACUGUCAUGUGGCAAAUUUUAUGAAAAAUAAUGUAAAGAUAAAGAUAUAGAUAUAGAUGUAGAUAUUGAGCUCUUAUUCUGAUAGCAUGUUAAAUUAUGUGAAACAGCGAUUACUCUUCGGAAAGUUAAACUUUAACGAUAUUUAUAUAUGUUAUAUUUAAUAAUACUGUUAUAUAUGGCCUAGAAUAUUUGAAGCAUCUAAAAAUUAAAUUUUGUUAUUUUUUAACUUGUAAUAAAGUUUAUCAAACGAGUAAAAUCAAAAUCAAACGACCUCUUAAAAAUAAAAGAUCAGACUUUUUUUAGUUCAAGUUAGAGUUAUGAUAAAGUCCGUGAAGGCCGGUACGUUAGACAUAGAUUUUAUGGAGUUUUUAUUUCUAAUUCUAUUUUUAUUUUUUUUGGAUGUAACAUCCCAAAAGGUGGCACGGUCUGAUUGUGUUGCUCUGCAUCUUACGGUCAACUGAAAAAGACAAGAAUUCUCUGGAAAUCUACGGGGUGAGUGUGAUUUAUAUGAAGGACCACCAGUAAGAAGGAAAUGAUUCUGAAGGCGACAUAUAAUAAUACUAGCAAUGUACCAGCACUUUGUAGUGAGUAUAAUUUUUAAGUUCAGAAUUAUUAUAUUGUACAUUAUGUAAAGUUACUUAAUAGAGUCAAAUAAAAAUACUGAUUUUUAUAUAUAUCUCCUAUUUGGAGAGAGAGAAGAGAAUAUUAAAUAAAAAUUAAAGCCAGAGAGAGAGAGUGUGCACUUUCAAACUUUCGGAUAUAGUAUAUUUUACUCAUAAUAUGAAAAAAUAAAAAAUAAAAAUUUUUAAAAAUAUAUAAUUAUUAAAUUCAAGUUUAAAAUUAUUUUAAAUAUUAAUAUUUUUGAGAGAGAAAAGUGGCAUGCAUAUUUUUCGGUAAGAGAAAAAAAAAGAGAAAAGGUAUAAAUAUUAAAUUAAAUAAAAAUUAAGUAAGAGAGAAAGUACAAUAGGGAUUUAAAAUUUUAAUUUUUAAAGUUAAAAAUUUGGGAAUAAAUAUUAUAAAUUUUAAAAUUGUAAAAUUUUAAAGUUGGAAUUUGAAAAUUAAAAUUUAAAAUUUCGAUAUCCAAAAUUUAAAAUUUUAUAAUAUAAAAUUUUAAAACCAUAUAUAUAUAGUAUUUGAUCAAAGAGCUAUUAGUAAUCAAGGAGUAUAUCCGAGGGCUUGAAACCUAGAAGUAAAAAGGGGUGAUACUUCUAAAAAUAUUCUAGCUCAAUUAUAUAUAUAGAUAUAGAGCUAGGCUGGUAUACUAUCGGUAGUACGGAAGCCUUUGUGGUACCAAGUUAUUUUCAAUGAUGCGGAUUCCAAAUCGAUAAUCGGUUCCGUUAGACUUGAUCUACAGUAUUGAAAGUAUUUGAAAACUAAUAAUUUUUCGGCAUUAUUUAUCUAUCAAACGAGAAGUCUAAAAAUAAAUAGCUGAAAAUAAAAAUCUCAUAAAAAGUGAUGAAAAAAAAUAUGAAUUUAAGAUCAGAGGUACUGGUCUUAUUCUAAAUAGUGAAAAGAAUUUUUAUAAAAAUUUCAUCAGAUUUGAAUUAUUUUAUACCGUUAAAUUGAUAAACGCAUCAAAUCUACCAUUAAAACUGUCAAUUUUGAGACCUUUUGAUCACUAGCCAAAUUAAGUCGAAAAAUUAUGAAAUUUAGUUUCUAAAUAACUUUAAUAGUGUAGAUCAAGUCUAAUAGAGCCAAUCGUCGAUUUGGAAGCUGCGUCAUUGAAAACAACUUGGUAGUACGGAGGUUUUCAUAUCAGAUAGCAUACGCUCUCUUCAUUCUCAUCAUCUCUCUCUUCUCUCUUCUAUUACUGUCUCUAUAUAUAUAAUUAUCUAUAUAUUUAUAUUUAGAAGAUCUUAAUAUAUAAUAUAUAUAUCUAUCUGGCUGGGAUACUAUCGAUAACAUGAAAUAUUUGGUGCUAUCAAGUUUUCUGCCGUUAGAUUUGCUUCUUUUAUUAUUUUCAUCCAUUCGAUUAUUCUAUUCAACUAACCACCCACUCAACCCUAGGCCGUUUUCGCUAUUAGGAGCACGAAGGCUUCCGUGCUCCUAAGCCGUUUUUGUUAAUGGAGUUUUCUAAUCGACGAUCGACUAUAUCACCAAUUUUUGUAGGAUUUUUAUUUUCAGCAGUUGAUUUUGGACUCUUACGAUUGCUAGGUAAAUAAUAUCCAAAAAUCACAAAAUUUAUUUUCUAAAUACUUUAAAUAUACUAAAUCAAGUCUAACGUAACUAAUCGUUGUUUCAGAAACUUCAUCAUCGAAAACGGCUGAGGAGCACGAAGGCCUCCGUGCUCCUAAUAGCACACGAGACCUACUCUCUCUCUCUCUCUAUAUAUAUAUAGGGAGAGAGAGAGGAGGGAAGCAUGGUUUAUGAUACACUAGGUGCAUCGAAAAUAGCCCGGGGACACGUGACAAUACAACAACAUUAGUAUAUGGACUUUAGUAUAUAUAUAUAUAUAUAUAUAUAUAUAUAUAUAUAUAUAUAUAUAUAUAUAUAUCUUGAGUUUUGCUGUGGCCUACGUGGCUGCUUCUCAGCGCCCCCCUCUCUACCGUCCUCAUUGGCGCCUGGCCUGCAUAACGUGGGUUCUCGGAAGGGCUACGUGUCGCCCUACCCGCGUCUCUCAAACCGUCUCUCGAAUCCCUCUCUCCCGAUCCCUCUCUUGCGAAGCCUAACCCUUGCAGAUCCUGCAGGAUGCGGGGUGUUGUCGCUCCCCCCGUACGUGCGGGCGCACAGCGUGCCGGAGACCUGGCUUCGCCGGUGUGCGCCGUGCCCCAACUCCUCUCUCUACGAUGGGCAAGGCGCCUGGCGCGGGUCAUGUGCACAUGGCAGAACGGGCGGGCGCGGGUGCGGGUGCGGGCGCCAGGUGUGGGUCGCACGCCGUUCACAUGGCAGGGCCUCCCUGGCUCUCUCUCUCUCUCUCUCGCGUGCGCGCGAGGGGUGCGGGUCGCCCGCACAUAGCGGGCCGCCCCCCCGGCUCUCUCUCUCUCUCUCUCUCUCUCUCUCUCGCGGGCGUCGCGGGUCGCCGGCUGUCUCCCCCCCUCUAUCUCCCCCACUUUUUCUCUCCCUCUCCCCACCCCCUGGGCUCCCUCUCUCUCUCUCGCCGGGCUGGCGCCUCCCGAAUGGGCGCAGCAGUAGGGCGCCGGCGCGUAGUGACCAGGCGCAAGCGGGUGGGCGGGUUGGUGCGGGGAGCUCGAGUCGGCCCGGACUACCGGCGUGGGGGUGGCGGGCGAGGCGAGGGAGGAGCGUGGGCUCGUGCGAGUUGAGAGUCCAAGGGCAUGGGGAGAGGGGAAUAGUGUAUUUUUUCAACUCUUCAAAUUUUCCUUUUUUUUUUAAAAAUCUAUUCAAUUUUUUCUUUUUUCAAUAUUAAAUUUUAAAAUAUAUAAAUAAUUUUUAACAUAUAUUAUUAUUUGAUCAUUAAAUAUAAAUUUUAAUUUUAUAAUUAGAUAUCAGAUUCCUGCUGGCCGGCUCCGGCUGUGGCGGCCUAUCGUCGGUGGCCGGGCUCGCGCCGCUGGGUGUGAGGUGGCAUACUCGACGGUGCCGGGCGGGGAGUACGGCGAAACUAGCGGCGGGAGGGGUGGGCUGGCGGGGAUUGGAGCGCGCGGGGAUGUCGCGCAGCGCGGCACGUCCGGAGGCCGCGAGCGAUCUACUGGGUGCGAGAGGGUGGAGAGGAUGCGCAAUCCAUUUGGGAGUGGGAGAGAUCGGGAGUUCCCUAAUUUUACAAUUUUACAAUUUGUAAAAAUAUAAAAUUUUAGGUUUCAAAUAUUAGAUUUUAAAUUUUAUACCCUCCCCUCUCUCUCACUCUCUCUCUCUAUAUCUAAAUUUAAAAUUAAAUAUUUAAAAUUUAAACUUUUUUACUAUUUGAGAUUUAAAUUUAAAUUUAAAAUAUAAAAUAGGAAAAAUUAAAAUUUAAAUUUUAACAGUUGGAAUUGAAAUUGCAACAUUUGAAAUUUAAUAUUUGAUUUUUUUAAUUUCAAUUUAUAAUUUAAUAUUUAAAAUUUUGAAUUUUAAAAUUUAAAACUUAAUAUUUAAAAUUUUAUAUUUUACCUUAAUUGCUAAAACUAAAUGUUACGUCCCGGAUUCCUCGUUUCCUCGGGCACGCUAAUAGACCUACCGUAUAUAUAGAAAUUUUUUCUGUAUACAAAACGAAACUGUACAAGAACCUGAAACCAAACAUACUAUAACCAGUAGUACAGAGCUGAUAGAAAGGAAAAAAACAUAUAUAAACACAGUGGUGCAAUACAUACAUAGCAUCCAGGUACAAACAUACUUACUUCAGUAAGGUAUAACAUCCGAAUGUAAAGAACCAAAAACUACAACUACCUGUAGCUAGUACUCCCCUAACUCUGCGACUCGUCUGGAAGGGCUCUAAUUCGCAACGCCCUUUCCACGAUUAGUCUCGGUAGUAGCAGCAGCCGGAACAGAAGGCUCUGCAAAAGAGGGGUAAUAAAUGGGCGUGAGAACUACUGCAAAAACAAGUAGUCCUCAGUGGGUAUCGCCCUCAACUCAUAGGCUCACCUACUAAGUCUACAGAUGUCUGCUCAAAAGAUAAUAAGAGAACUAAAAACAAUCUACAGCUACAUGCUACUAUACUAUCAUGAUCCAACACUACUAUCUGUAGAAUAAGACAAGCUCUGACCCAAUCUCUUUAGGGACUGUAAACAUACCUGUCUCAGAGAUUGUGAGCACACCCGUCCCUAGGACUGUGAGCACACCCGUCCCGCCUGUCAAGGCUAUACAGCUACCUCCACACUAAGCAGUCCGUGGAGAGCAAGUCCAGCCAGGACAUAACGACACCAACGCAAACGCACAAAACCCAACUCCGAAGUGGCACUCGUGGGCGCUACUCAACCGAGUAUGGAAGCGUAUCUCUGUUGAGCUCAAUCAGACUCUCACAAGCUAAGAUCCAAGUAAACAGGGUUCAACUGGUCUAACAACUAAACUCACGUGCUCUCGGUACAAUCUGAUGCAAAAACAGCAAUCUGGGUCCACCGUCAACCUCAACGGCACCCGACAGUCCGGAACAGCCUAAACACUGCUGUAAAAAUAAGCUCGGCAUCUUAGCAUGAGCGUAAAUACAUUCUAUACUAUUCUGGGUAUCCACCGCCGAUAAACUGCAGUGAUACAAAUAAACUAUAGUUCAUAGAGCUGAAUCUGGUAGUUUUAACAUAUGACAGUGUAGAAGCGCUAGUUUUCUCCUAAGUCAAAUUCAAAUCCAACAUGUAUAAUUUAUUAACUUACUACAGCAUGCUGCAAAUUCAGAUUUCAAUUAACAUACUAAUCGAUGAAUUCGAGCUAAAAACAGGAUAUACAACUGCUAAAUAUAUAUAUGUUGACUACGCGUACACUUAGGAGGAAAAUCCGAUGAUUAACCCACCUUAAGCGCUAAAUCCAUGGCAGCGAGGAGUCACCGGAAUCCCUGUCAAUCUCUGCCACAACCAGCAACCAAACAAAUCCAAGGUCUACACAAAAAUCCACCAAAAAUCCAUCAAUACUUCAAAAAUUCAGCACUUAAGCUAAUAUCAUCCAAUUCCAAUGUGAACUUUACCUUCCAAAGCUCAAAUCAGAUGAAGGAAGGCCCCAAAACCAGUGGGCUGUGCUGGAGUAUCAAGCUCUGGUUCACAAUCCAGCUCCUUCAAAGAAUUGCUCCAAGAAAAUCACAACAAAGUCAAUUUCAGCUCAAACCACCAGCAGUAGAGAAGAAUACGAAAAUGACUGAGCUAGGCUUAACCAAAUUCUGUCAAUUUGGACUCCACGAAUUUCUCUUGAAGUCUAGAAUCCAGCAAACCAAGUUUCGUGGCAAACGGAGUUUUUUACGUUGCACACGAAUCGAAACACCAAAAGUCGCCGCUGGAAAACUGCUAGAACUGCAGCCUUCUAGUUGAAAGUGCACAAAUUGGAGGAAUUGAAGCAAUUUGAGGUGCUAGAUGCAAUUCUAAGCCUUUAUUGUGAAGAAAGGAUGAAAAGGGUUCACUGAGGGCGUACAUAGCCUAUUUAUAGGGAGGUGAAAAGAUAAGGUAAACCCAAAGAACUCCAAACACAAAUCUGCUGCCCCUACAGAAAUCCCCACUUUCGGGCGUCCAAAACAUACAUCUGGGCGUCUGAAAUCUCCAGGCUAUACAAAAGCUUACCAUUGGUUCCUCCACUGCGGUGUGCUGCGCCCAUAACCGGCUCCGGCGGACCUCACCUACCACUAGCCACGCGUCAACUCAAAUAAUAUUCACGAGGUGAACUUUCGGACCCACAACCGGGUGCCCGAAACUAAGAUCCGAAUUGGCUUCCAGUUCAGUUCAAACCAGCACUUAAAUUCUGGGCGACCCAAAUUUGGUUAUGGGCGUCCGAAUCUGGCAAAACUCUAGUUUUGCUUAUUUGAGUGCGCCGAAUCCAUUUAUGCAUCCAUUUUGUACAGAAACGAUUCUGACUUAGUCUGACACUCUCCAGAUGUGUCAACUAGUCACUAGUACUGUAGCCAAUCCUAUCCAAACCUCUGAAACACUAUACUAAAUUUUGAAAGUUUAUUGCUUUAAAUUUUAAAUUUUAGUUUCUAAAUUUUAGACUUUAAAUUUUAUAUUCAAAUUAUGAAUUUUAAAGUUUAAAAAAGUAUCUCUCUUAAUUUGUGCGAGGAAACAAAUUAUAGAUGAGUUCUCAGUGUAACCGUAAACCAUAUUCCUACUCAAAAACAAUCAUCAUGAAUUACAUAAAGCAAACACGGACUCAUACCUAUCCGCCCUGAUGAAAAGAACCACACUUUGAAGGAAAUACAGAAAAUAGAAUGACACAAAAUCCAGCAACAUUUGUCACAAAUGUCCACAGAAACCGAAUUUAUUAUCAACAGAAUAGAGUUCAUCAUUGCCAAAUAAAUGGAAUCUUUAUAAAUUAAGCUUUCUUGACAAACCCAAUUCACUUCCCACAUCACAUCUUCCGUGCAACUCAACAAAGAACCCGUGGAUAAUCAGUGAAUCUCCCAAAAAUCUGAUUUUCAUAUUAGAAAGAAUAGAUUUUUUUUAAAAUUCUCUCGGGCAAUUCCUGCGUAACCCCUUACCCUCAACAACGCAGCUGAAUCAUCUCAAGAUAUUUGAUACAUACAAAAAGGUUCAAAUUAGCUGAACUCUGAAUUUUCUACCUGAAUUCUGAAUUGGGAAUUCAGAAAAGUCUAUAUAAAAUUAAAUAUUUUAAAUAUAGAAACUGAAUUACGAUAAAAUGUAUUUUUUAAAAUUUAAAUUGUUAAAUUCUAAAUUUCAAAUUGCUACAUUAAAAAAAAAGGGAUUUUAAUUUCGUAUGUACAAAAUUAAAUUUUUAGAUAAUUAGAUAUUUUAAAUUUUAAAUAAAUUACAUAAAUUUUUUGCCGCGAAGCGCGGGCCUUCACUAGUAGUAAUAAAUUUCUCAGUAAUACCCGGCCACAUUGUGCUUCCAGCUGCAUGAAAUAUCUGUUAUAGAAAUAAAAAAAAAUCUAAAAUAUUUUUGGUGAGAAAUCCAAUAUAUUCAUUUUUUAAUUUUUAGAAGUUUAUCCAGUAGCUGGAAUUGCCGUGCAGUUCUAAACACUCCAGGCCAGAUAAAGUCUGAAAACAUUCACCAUUCUCGGAUUGAAAAAGUAGGCCGCGUCUUCUUUGGCGAGAGGUCACGAAACUUCGUGACAUAAUCCAAAAAAUUAUGUUGUUGUCAUCUUGUGGACUAAAAUGCAUAUAAUAAUUGGUGGAAGAUGUGGAACUGCAUAUUUUAUUAGUUUGAAAACUUAAUUUUAUAUAUAUAUAUAUAUAUAUAUAUAUACAUGUUUAGUGGCUACAUACUACUUCCUUUAAUAAGUUAUAAUAAUUCUAAACAUCGUUUUCAAUGGUCAAUUCUCCACCCCGCCAAAUUAAGUAUAUGAAAUGGCUUGCAAGGGCUCAAUUUAUUAAAAUAUAAGAUAAGUUUGUGCAAAUCCCUCAAUUUUAGGAUCUCAACUUCAUAAUUAAUGGCGUAUAUAAAUAUUGCUUUAUGGUGCACUAAUGCUUCUAAAUCUUUUAGUGCUUAUGUUGCUGAAUCUUUUAGCAACAUAUUAAGAAACUAUUACGGAUGUUGAGUAAUUAGUAACACUUAAUAGAUGUCGUAAUAUAUAUUAAAAAAAUCUAAUAAGACAUUUCCUACACGGUGGUGUAUAUAAUUUAGGAAGAACUUCAAAUACCACCUAUGUGGUUUCACACUUUUUUACUUUAGUACUCUAUAGUUUAAAGUGUAUCAAUUUAGUUCGCUGUUAUUUUAUUUUUAUCUUUUUUAUUAUUGAUUCCACUAAUUUUUUUCGUUAAAUCAGUGAUAAAGUUACAAUUAAAGGAUACUAAAGUAAAUAUUCGAUAAACCUAGGUGAGUUAUCUGAAGUUUUUUUGUACAUAAUUUAACGAAAUAUUAACGAAAAAAUUGACGAAAAAAUAAAAAUAAAACCACAGGAUACUAACUUGAUACGUUUUAAACCACAUGGUACUAAAGCAAAAAAGUGUAAAAUCAUAGGAGUGGUAUUUGAAGUUUAUCCUAUAAUAUAAUUAAUUCUUGCAUAGAUAAAUUGUACUAAUUAUUUCUGAAUAAAUUUUUUAUUAAUAGCUUUUAAAAUUAAUUAUUUUUUGACCAAUCACUCCAAUUACAGUUGAUACAAAUGAUUCGUACUAAAUAAUAAAUUAUAAUUUCAAUAAUAUAAUUUAGCAAACAUCAAAUUAAUAUAUACUAUUGACUUAAAGAGACUAGUCUCCUGCAUUGUGGCAGGAGGCCAGGCUAGGCCAAGUCACGUUCGAAACAACGGGAGGACGGGUUAGGCCAAGUCAUGUUUCAAGUGGCGUGAGGCUGGGUGGGCGGCGUCACAAUCAAGACUCAUGGACGCUAUGUUUAUACGCUUUAAGUGAAUUGAUUACGUAUUUCUAACAGUUUGAGUUUUUUAAAUAAAUGGUUAGAGCCAACGACUCGACAAGUGGUGCAUCUUGCCAUGUAGCAGGAGAUCUGGUUGGGCCGAGUUGUGUUUGAAGUGGCGUGGGGCUAGUUGGACCGAGUCACAAAUGAGACCCGUGUACACUGUGUCUGUAUACUUUAAAUGAAUUGAUUUGCGUAAUUUAAAUUAUUAUAUACAUUAGAUAUUUAAAAACUUUCAGCAAAUUUGAGUUUUAUAAUCACAUCACAAACAAUUAAUACCAAAAAAAUCUUAUCAAAUGAUAUUAGCAUCUCACCAACAACUAUACGAUACAAAAGAGAUAUCAUCAAAGCAACUAUNUUUUUUUAAAUUUAAAUAUGAUCUUAAAUUUAAAGUUUGAAAUUUAAAAUUUAAAAUUUUGAAUUUAAAAUUUGAGAUUUUAAAUUUCAAAGUUAAAAUUUUAAAUUUAGAAAUAUAAAUUUAAAAAUUUUAAAAUUCAAAUUCAAAUAUAAUAAGUGGAUAAUAUCAUUAUUUUUUAUUUACAAAACCCAUUAUCUUUCUUAUUCUAUCUUACCUAACCAAACGCUAUUUUUUUUUAUUCCAGGAAUAACCCAAUUUUCAUCCAAACGCAAAAUUGAUCUAAUCCUCGCUUAUACCUCAAUUUAUACCUAUCCCUGGAAUAGCCACUUUUUUCUUAUCCCCGAACCAAACGAUACCUAAGUGAAUUGAUUAUGUAUUUCUAACAGUUUGAGUUUUUUGAAUUAAUGGUUAGAGCCAACGACUCGACAAGUGGUGCAUCUUGCUAUGUAGCAGGAGAUCUGGUUGGGCCGAGUUGUGUUUGAAGUGGCGUGGGGCUGGUUGGACCGAGUCACAAAUGAGAUCCGUGUGCAUUGUGUCUGUAUACUUUAAAUGAAUUGAUUUGCGUAAUUUAAAUUAUUACAUACAUCAGAUAUUUAAAAACUUUCAGCAAAUUUGAGUUUUAUAAUCACAUCACAAACAAUUAAUACCAAAAAAGAUCUUAUCAAAUGAUAUACAAAAGAGAUAUCAUCAAAUCAACUAUAUGAUACAAAAGAGGUAUCAUCAAAUAAUAUUUGUAGGCAUAGCCUUAAGUGUUGCUAAGAAAAUGUUGAUAAAUUUUGACUUUGUUGUAGUGUUCAUUGAUACUUUUGUAACUUCAAUUUUUUUAAAAAAAUUAACUUUUAAAAGUAUAUUAUGUUAAAAUCUUUUAUUAAAUUGCGAGACUCAAUUAGACAUUUUCAGAUAAUUAAUUAAUUUUACAAAUUUAAAUUUAUUUGGUCAAAAUUACUUAAUUAAUAAAAAAAUCAAAAGUUGAGGGGAUCUUAAUAAAAAGAACAAUACUAUCUAUAUAUCCCCAAAAGGGUGUAAAUCUUACAUUCCACUCAGUGAAAUUUCUUUCUCACUCUUAUUGAUAUAACGGGCGGAAAAUUCUAACCCAUAGGAUGGUGGGAUGUAAGAUAUCACACUCCAAAGUGAAUUGCACAAGUAAUAUUUUUCAAAAUAUAAACAUAUAAUUUUCUAAUAGCAUAAAUUUUCAAAGAGAUAAACGAUUGUUUUCAUAUAGUAUUAGAGUUAUAGGUCAUAAAUUUUAGUGUUUAGUUCAGAUAAAAAAAUAUUUUACUCAAUAUUAAGGUAAGAGGUUGUAAGUUUAAAUCUCUCGUUCGGACUUGCAAAUAUGUAUAAAGCAUAUUAUGUAUUUAAAGCUUUUCUUUGACUCCUAUAUCUUAAGGUAGAUGUGUGUGAGAAACGUUUGGGAAAACUUCAAAAUAAUAAAUUACGAGAAAUAUGGAAAGAAAUGUGUUUAAUUUUAUGUAAUUUAAACUUUAGUAUAUAUAUCUCUAUGAUUUAUGGUGCUAUAUUAAUUACACUAUUAAAUCACGUAGUAAUUAUAAUUGGUAAAUUGUAAUGACCUAAAUACGUCGGAGAGAAGAGGCAUGACGAAUAGUGAGAGGCGGUGAAGGAGCGCCUUGUUUAUUUCGUUUUAGAAAUAAACUUAGCUAGAAAUGUGAAUUAAUUAGGCUUUGAAUCUCGAAUCUCGGAUAUCAACUACUAAGCUUUUUGCCACUCGCGCUAGGGACGGUCGGUUAGAUACCCGAG